AGUUAGUUGAUUGAUUGAGUCCUUAACAAAUCACCCAAAUGAGAUAUUAAGGCUAGGACCCAACACAAUAUUCCAUAACUUGGGAGAGGGAUGUCGUAACCCAAAUUGCAGAACAUUUGAAGGUAAGUGAAUGACGAUUCGCUAAAUUUCCACCAUGAAAAACGAAAAGCAGAUUAAGUUUUAAAUGUACUGAAAAACUCCUAGAUCCUAUGAGAUUCAUUGAACUUCUCAAUGGCAUGUUUAAAUCUCGAUAUGCCCCUUGAUUUGUGACUGGGAUGCCGAGGAUCACAAAACAGGGUGUGAAUGACCAUGCAAACUUACAUGGUGCCCCCAAUGUUAGAGUCACCUAUACGAUGUGUUGGUUAACCACACACGCUCCACCGAACUAUGACAAACAAUGAGUCACCCUUUGCUACCUUUGCUUAGAACCAUUUAGUGUGCCGGUUAACCACACACGCUCUACUAACGUCUUCGCAAGGGUACAAAGUGUAAUUUCAUGGAAUUGCAUCAAAUUCACUUUUGCCUAAAGUAACUAAGAUUGGGAAUUUUGUAUAUAACAUUUAGUUACUUUAUACUUGGUUAACCACACACGCUCUACUAACGUCUUCGCAAGGGUACAAAGUGUAAUUUCAUGGAAUUGCAUCAAAUUCACUUUUGCCUAAAGUAACUAAGAUUGGGAAUUUUGUAUAUAACAUUUAGUUACUUUAUACUUCAUUAUACUUUUCAUGGAAAGGGUUUGCCCUAUCCUACCCGUUCGGCUAACAACCCUCCACCAAUCAAGGAAGUGGUGGGUGAGAGUGGACACCCAUUAAACGGCUAUUUUAUAGGCCAUAACCUUAUACCUCCUUAUAGAUUGUCUUCAUGAAUGAGGCCUACUAACGCUAAGACUAGCAGUUUAAGUUAUACAUAUAUAAUAUUAGACUUUUAAUGUUAUAUAUAGUAUAAGGGUGUAUUUUACACUUUUAAUAUACUAGGUGGUCUAAUUUAAUAAAUUAUACUUUUAAUUUAAUUAAAUGUAAACCAUAUCACUAUGGAUUUAUUAACUCUCUUUCAAUUAUACACUUAAUUAAUUUAAUAAAACCAUAAGGGUGCAAUUUGAACUUUUUCAAAACUUAGGGUUUUAGAAUUUAACAUUUUAAAAUUAAACUUUUAAUUAAAAUUUAAAUUCCAAAACUUGAGGGCAAGUUUUGAAACCUAUCAAAACUAUUAGUUCAAAAUACAAAUAAGGCAAUUAAACAAUUAANAAUUAAUUGGUGGUUAUCUAAUUAGAUCUAGUUCAAAUUCUUGCAAGAUAAUGAUCAAAUAAUUCAAAUAAUUUAACAUUUAUCAAAUAAGGUAACAAUUAUCUAAUUAGUUGACCAAAAUCUUUUAUUUUGACAAAGAUAAUCAUAAGGAAUCAAUAAAAUUCGUAUUUUAUUAAUUUUAAACAAUUAUGGCAAUUAUCCUAAGUGAAAAUAGGCAAAAAUCUCGAAAUUCCGCCUGUCUGACAGCUAAACUCAUCGAGUUCAACCUACUCGACGAGUCCACAUUGGGACUCGAUGAGUUUUUCAGGCAGAGGGCCAAAAACUCGAUUUUACAACAAGAAUGAAUAUACUAGGCAUCAAUACAGUAGAAACCAAUUAAGGCUCUGAUACCACUGAUGGGUUUAGGCCAUAAGAACAUCCUAUGUGCUCACGCAAACCCUAAUGCUUGGAUCUGGGUUUCUCUAUUGUACAUGCAAUUCAUCCAAGACUUUAAACCCUAGAUCUAUCAUACGAUAAUCAAUAUUAACAUAAGAAUAGGGUUUAUAUCUUACCUUGAUUGUUAUGUAGCAAUAACAAUCUCAAAUCCUCCUUGUAAUGGCUUUAGAAAGCUUAGAGUCACAAGUGUCACUCCUCUAAUAGCUUACAAACACCAAUAGCAAGAGGAUGAAGAAUGAGAAGAGAGGAGGCACCCAAAAACAUGUAGAAACCCUAAGGAAACUCUUAGCCACGUUUUUGGUGCCCUAGGGAUCCUUAAAUAGUGAGGCUAUUAGGGUUAUCUAACAAGGAAACCCUAAUUUGACUGCUUAGGCCCUAAGCAGCCCAUGGACGAGGCCUUGGACGAUUUCUAAUGGGUUUCCCCAUACAAUUCGUCCACUCCAUCCUCUAUGGAGUCCAUUAGCCCAAUAUUCAACUAUCACACAAUUGACAGUUCUACUCCCUUAAGUUUAAUUAAUAUCUUUUAGCCACAAAAUUAAUUUUUAAUUAAUUAUUGACUAAUAUUAAUUAAACAAUAUGAUUUCUCCUUUAAUAUAUUAUUCUCAUAAUAUAUUAAUAAAUCAUAAUUAAUCAUCUCUCUCCAUAAUUCAUCCUAUCAAGUUGCUUUGGUGAAGGCAACCCAAAAGGACCAUGCACCAUCGGGUCAAGUACAUACCAAAAUAGUUAUGGACUUAGACACUAAUCCAACACGUUUCCCUUCCUGAUCCCGACUAUCGCGAACCGCUAAACCAUUUCUAGUUAGAUUCUAUCCAAUCAUGCUACUAAUGUGAGUGCAUAGUCCCUUUCAUGAACAUGAUUUUAAUACAAGUAUUAAAUUAUAUGUUUAUGUGUGAAAUAUUUGAUAUUGUCUGAAAAUACGUGUGAAGAGCAUAUUUUAUAAAUAUAUGAUGAUUUAGGAUAUAGAGUAGACCUAAAUAAAUUAAGAGAGAUAUUGGGUAGUAUCUCCUUAUGAGUACAAGUGAGAUAUACCGGAGGGAAUAACUUAAAACUUGUCAUUAAUUCGAGAAUAUGGAUUAGACUUAGUCAGUUGUUCUUAGUUCGAGAGUAUGGAUAAGACAUAGUUAUUUUAUAUUAAUCUGAGAGUAUGGAUUAAGACAUAGUCAAUUGCUCCUGGUCCGAGAGUAUGGAAUAAGCAUAGUUAAUGAUCCGAAAGUAUGGAUCAGACAUACCCGAUCCAGGAGUAUGAAUUAGGUAAAGAGGUAAAUUUUAGAUCCCAGAGUAUGGAUUAGAUAAAGAGGUAAAUUUUAGAUCCGGGAGUACGGAUUAGGUAAAGUGGUUAAUUUUAGACCCGAGAGUAUAGAUCGUGUUGUUGUGAGGAUGGACGGGGGUGGGGUAAAGUUGCUUAUGUUGGAUUAGUGUCUAAGUCCAUAACUAUUUUGGUAUGUACUUGACCCGAUGGUGCAUGGUCCUUUUGGGUUGCCUUCACCAAAGCAACUUGAUAGGAUGAAUUAUGGAGAGAAAGGAUUAAAUAUGAUUUAUUAAUAUAUUAUGAGAAUAAUAUAUUAAAGGAGAAAUCAUAUUUUUUAAUUAAUAUUAGUCAAGAAUUAAUAAGAAUUAAGUUUGUGGCUAAAAGACAUUAAUUAAACUUAAGGGACUAGAACUGUCAAUUGUGUGAUAGUUGAAUAUUGGGCUAAUGGACUCCAUAUUAAAGGGGUGGACGAAUUCUAUGGGGAAACCCAUUAGAAAUCGUCCAAAGGCCUUUAAGAAAGGAGUACAUGGGUUGCUUAGGGCCUAAGCAUCCAAAUUAGGGUUUCCUUGUUAGAUAACCCUAAUAGCCUCACUAUUUAAGGAACCCUUAAGCCCCAAAAACGUGGUGAACUAGUUGUCUAGGGUUUCCACACGUUUUGGGCAGCCUCCUUCUCUUUUCUUCUUCAUCCUCUUGCUCUUGGUGUUAGUGAACCAUUAGAGGAGUGACAUUUGUGACUCUAAGCUUUAUAAAGUCAAUACAAGAAGGAUUUGAGAUUGUUAUUGCUACAUAACAAUCAAGGUAUGACCUAAACCCUAAUUCAUAUGUUAUAUUGAUUAUCAUAUAUUAGAUAUAGGGUUUAUAGUCUUGGAUGAAUUGCAUGUACAAUAGAGAAACCUAGAUCCAAGCAUUAGGGUUUGUAUGAGCACAUAGGAUGUUCUUAUGGCCAAAACCCAUCAGUGGUAUCAGAGCCUUGAUUGGUUUCUAUUGUAUUGAUGCNNNNNNNNNNNNNNNNNNNNNNNNNNNNNNNNNNNNNNNNNNNNNNNNNNNNNNNNNNNNNNNNNNNNNNNNNNNNNNNNNNNNNNNNNNNNNNNNNNNNNNNNNNNNNNNNNNNNNNNNNNNNNNNNNNNNNNNNNNNNNNNNNNNNNNNNNNNNNNNNNNNNNNNNNNNNNNNNNNNNNNNNNNNNNNNNNNNNNNNNNNNNNNNNNNNNNNNNNNNNNNNNNNNNNNNNNNNNNNNNNNNNNNNNNNNNNNNNNNNNNNNNNNNNNNNNNNNNNNNNNNNNNNNNNNNNNNNNNNNNNNNNNNNNNNNNNNNNNNNNNNNNNNNNNNNNNNNNNNNNNNNNNNNNNNNNNNNNNNNNNNNNNNNNNNNNNNNNNNNNNNNNNNNNNNNNNNNNNNNNNNNNNNNNNNNNNNNNNNNNNNNNNNNNNNNNNNNNNNNNNNNNNNNNNNNNNNNNNNNNNNNNNNNNNNNNNNNNNNNNNNNNNNNNNNNNNNNNNNNNNNNNNNNNNNNNNNNNNNNNNNNNNNNNNNNNNNNNNNNNNNNNNNNNNNNNNNNNNNNNNNNNNNNNNNNNNNNNNNNNNNNNNNNNNNNNNNNNNNNNNNNNNNNNNNNNNNNNNNNNNNNNNNNNNNNNNNNNNNNNNNNNNNNNNNNNNNNNNNNNNNNNNNNNNNNNNNNNNNNNNNNNNNNNNNNNNNNNNNNNNNNNNNNNNNNNNNNNNNNNNNNNNNNNNNNNNNNNNNNNNNNNNNNNNNNNNNNNNNNNNNNNNNNNNNNNNNNNNNNNNNNNNNNNNNNNNNNNNNNNNNNNNNNNNNNNNNNNNNNNNNNNNNNNNNNNNNNNNNNNNNNNNNNNNNNNNNNUAUAUAUAUAUAUAUAUAUAUGUAUGUAUGUAUAAGUAAAGGUCAGUCUUACCGUUAGUAGGCCUCAUUCACGAAGCUGGUCUAUAACUUGAUGUGCACGGAAGUGCCCACUAAUUUUAAUAUUUAUAACCUAACAAACUUAGACUAACUAUGCACUUAUAGGCAGUGUACCUAGUCAGAUUACAGUAUAGCAUAGGUAAGUCGGGUGUCGAUCACAAGGAACGAUGGUGAAUGAAUUUAAAAUAUUUGAUUAUAGGUUACAAANCAGGUCACACGAAAAUAAUAAAGAAAAUGGUUUAAUAAAUCUCAAACUAGCAAUUAACAACUCUCGAUAAACUAACAGGAAAGCAAAUCUCUUCAGGUACUUUGGUUUAGAUAAAUUACACCUUAAAAACAUAGACAAUUGCAUACACAAAUUCAUUUAUUCAUGUUCACCGAUUCCUAAAAUGAUUAGAUUCGCGUUCACUAUAACUAAUCCUUUAGCAAACAAGUCAAUUCAAAUAGUGAUCAGUUGAUUAAACUAACAUGCUUCCUAGUGUUCAGUUUGUGUCAAGCAAGACUUGUAAAUAUAGUUAAUCAAAUUACCAAUUCAAAUUAACCUCUUGUUGAUGGUCAUCAAACAAGGCUCACACAUUAACUUACUUAUUCCCAAGUUAAUCAUAGUUUCAUAUUCGUUAUUCCUAGACUUAUAAUCUCGAUGGUCAUCAAAAUCAUAAAAGACAAGCAAUCAAGCAGAUGUUCAUACAACUCAAUUCACUUAACAAUUAACAACAAAUAAUCAUCAUUUAUACGUAAGGAUCUUUUAACAAGANAAGAUAAAUUAAACAUAAACAAACAAUUCAAUAUAGCAAUUAGUCUAAUAAUCAAAGCUUCAUUCAAUCAUAAACGCAAAGUAAAAGGUUUUUACACCUAAAUCAGAAACUAAAUACAUAAUAGUAACACAAUGGAAUGCUAAACAUGGUCACGUUAACAACCCAUAUGAUUACCGACAUGUAUCCGCUCUCCAACCCUUCCGAUCUCCGCUCCCGUUAGCUUAACGGCCUUCCGGCCGCCUUCUAGACCCUCAAAACGGCUUAACAGAAGUUUAAUAUCGACUAAAUUAAGUUGGAAGUCGAAUUCCCCUUUCUGGUUAGCUGAAAAUCGACUUUUAUAACCCUUGUAGCCGACUUACGUACGUUGGGCGUAAGUCGGAUUACGCUGGGUGUAAUGAAUAUUUCUACACGAUUGAGUUUAUCCGAUGCCAGCCAUUACGCGGGGUGUAAUCUAAUAUUACGCUGGGCGUAAUUUGAAUUUGGUCGUUACGCUUAGCGUACAAGAAACUUACGCGCAGCGUAAUUGGCUCCUCCAACCCUUCCUUUGUUUUUGAUUCUAAGCCCGAUUUCCGCUUCAGUCUUUUCUUUUGUGCUUUAUCGACAACAAAUAGCUGCAAAUCAUAAUUUAAAGCAUUAUGAGUACUUUUUAGUUCUAAAAGAGAAUAAUAAAGGCCAAAAUAUUAAGAUAUAAUGCAUAAAAAUAUAUAUAAAAAUACACAUAUCAAAAUACCCCACACUUAGCCUUUGCUUGCCCCCAAGCAAAUUUACUUUUAUUUCACUAAUAUUGCACUAAACAAUCCAUUUAAAACUCAGCCAUUAUGUCAAGACCGCAACGCAUGCAUUUGUGUCUAAAAUUUUCCUAAAGUACCCCCCAUACUUUAAAUACUCACAAUCUUCAUAAACACUUGCCCACUUUUUCCAAACAAUGCUCAUUUUAUGCAACCCUCCGAAUCCAUCCGCGGAAAACCUCCUUAUCCUCAAGGUAUUUUUAGUUGAGCAACCUAAGAAUACAUAAUCUAGAAUUACAAUCUAUGAUACCACUAUGGAGCUCCUUUGGAAUUCUUCACUAGUUUGACAUUUGAUCUUUGAUUUCUUUGAAUUCACAACCUUAUUUGAUUUGAUUUCUGGUAUCUUCAACUUUUUGAAAUUCUUCAGAAUUUUGAUCUGUUGAUCUUCACUUUAUUUGCUCCAAAAUUCUUCAAACUUUUCUUGUAAGUCUCUCUCCUUUUUUUAUUACAUUACAUGUACCUCACUUUUUUCACUCACAACCUACAUGCUUAAGCAGAGGCGCUCAACCUCAACCUUUAUUGGUUAAUGAUAAUAAUUUUCCUGCAUACAUUUCAGGUUUAGGUUGCUAAACAUAUUGCAUCCCUCAAACCAAGCGGGGUUAUGUUUUUGUUCCAUGAUUUCACUAAAAUAAGGGAGGCCACAAAUGCACUACAACGUAUAUUAGCUCAACUAAACAUUUGAGUUUUCAUCGGAUCAUCUCAUAUAAUAUUAGCAAAAUUUAAAUUAUCACUAGAUUUUUCUAAAUUAAACUAUUAUUUCAAGUUGUAAAAUUUUUAAAUUUCCUAACUAUUAUUUUAUUUUUAUAAUUUACUAUUACCAACCCCCUACCCCACACUUAUUUCAUACAAUGCCCUCAUUGUAUGCUAAAACGAAUUAAGAACAUAAAAGGGAGAAAAAGGAAUAGACUCCCCUGGGUAGUUGUGGAGAGAUCGAAUGGGGCUGCUACAAGUUGCUCCAAAUAUUGCUAAAAGACUGAAAACUGGAACUGCUGCUUCUGAAUUUGUCGAAAAAUAAAAUCAAGACUGCCGACUUCAAAAAUGUGGUGCACAAUAUUGAAAAUAAAUGCAAUGUGUAGUAACCAUGACGUGGGAAAGUGUCGACCACAUCAUGUCUUCAAAAAUGACAUCUUCUUCUCGUGAUGAAAAAUCCCCCACAACAUAGGAAAGUGUCAACCAUGCCAUGGCAGCCGGGAUGAUACUUCUUCCUCGCGUCGAAAUAAAACUCUAUGGUGUAGGAACAGCUCAUCCAUAUCAUAAGAGUCAAAAUAUCGUAAAAAUGCCAAUCUUCGAAAUAAUCGCUCACGAAAUCAAUAUGCACCCCACACUUAUGACAAAUUGUGGGUCUUGACUGUAAUCUUCGAUCUCUCACACGACUCUCUCUAGCAACAGUCGGACCUAGAUGCUGAAAUUACUGCCAGCUUUCUAAGGGCGAAAAUUCUGCAGAGAUCUAAACAACCAAAGAGCAUCAACAUGGAAAACAAAAGUAAAACAAACUAAAUUAAAGUUUAAUUACAUACCAAAUAAAAAACUAAAACUAGCAAUAAAAAUAACAUAAAAAUAAAAAGGAUAACUAAAUCACUCAUCAUCCCCGUCAUCGUGCUGCUGUGUCCCAGAAGUACCGGCCCCAUCAUGUCGUGGCUGGAAUGGUGGAGGGUAGGGGACCGAGUACUGAAACCCCCAGUGGGCAAAGAAUGCGGUCAACGCAUCCCCAUACCACUGUUGUUGUCUGUCCACAUGUGCAACAUACUCACUAAGGUUCUGGACCCUCAUGUCAAGACGGUCAAUGCCCUGAGCUAGGUAACGCAUAUCAAUCUCCGACUCAGGUCCCUGAUGCGCUCCCCGAGGAACAGGUCUACGCCGCUGGAACCGUCUCGGCUGUAGCUCGGCUGUACCCUCCUCAUCCACCACAUCAUCUGCUCGUACCCACAAGACACCAUCUCGCCCCGCUCGAGUACAUGCAUCGACUCCAACAGCUGAAGGCUCAUCGGCCUCAUAUCAUGGAACACCAUCGAUCUCGUGAUCUCUCAUGUCAACAACUAAUAUGAUCGGGCUAAUCACGUGAUAAAAUGUCCUCCGCAAAUCGGGCUAUCCUCCCGAAGUCCCUUGGCCCUCCAUCCCAAAUAUGUAGCUAAAGCAACUGGAAGGUUCAGGUGCCUCCCUGGAGUAACAAGUGCCCAUAGGAAAUACAAGUCUGUCGAAGGCACUCUCUCACUGUUCUUAUGAUGCGUGAGAGUCAUGGAAAUCAACCGGUGCAGCAGUCUGUAUGUAGUAGACCGAAUCAUCCUCCCCCGUGCAGUAGAUGGCGUAUAAAAUCCUCGUGUAAUCUCAGCCCAAAAAGUGUUCUCGUUAUAGUCAUCUGGCCGGUCCGUGAGACAAUCAGCAAGGAAUGCCGGGAAGUGGACACUCCUCGUCUCAUAUGCUAUGUAUAUACCCACUCGAGUCGCAAGCUCUAUGACACUACACUCCUGGCUCACUCCCCCCAGUCUGAAGGCAAAAACUCUCCUAUCAUCGGGUGCCUUCCUAGGGUCAUAGGAAACUGUAGUGUAGAACUCCAGCAAAAAUUCCCGAUAAACAGGCUCCCGGAUCCUGAACAAUCGUGCCCAUCCCUAACAUAAGAACAAAUCCACACCACACGCGUUCGAGUGCGUGUAUUGCAAAAAAUCCUGGAUUAGUGCAGCAAGUCCAGUCCGGGUCGCCAAUUCCCAGUCGAAUGAUGGUGCUAUGUCGAUCUCCUUGGUGAGCAGCAAACUCAAACUGUUGACAUAUCGUGCCCGGGUUGCAUCGUUCAGAGUUUGCGGAAAUUGUAAGAAAUGGUGAUCGGUCACAUCCUCGGGUCGGUUGGUCCGUUGAGUUCUUCGGUCCAUAAUCUAGUUGCUGAUUUACGAAGGGCGUAAAACAAGGUUAUGCUGGGCGUAACCCCAACUUCAUGAAAAGUCCAUCCGCGAUCCGGGGUUUAUUACGCUUGGCGUAAUUAAACUUACGCUCGGCGUAAUGAAGUAUUCCUUUUCUUUAAUUGAAAUUUCUUUUCUUUUAACUUACUUAAAUAAGGGACUUAAAACUUAAUUAUUUUUCUUUUUAAUUGCUUCAUUAACUGAUGACUUCCCGAUCAGUGAAAAAAAAUGAGACGUCAUAGUCACUUGUCUUUGUCAAGAUCAAACAACAAUGGUUGAUCAAAAACCUUUGCACACAAGAAUUGGUUUGCGAAAACACCCACUUUCGAGACCCGUUAGAAUAUUUCCUUUGUUUUCUUUGCACCUUUAACUAAAAGCGGAACAAGAAGUGACCUAACAAGUCAAGAACAGCAAGAGCCCGGUCUUCCACUUAACCACCACAAUACGCCUUGCUAUACUACGCCUCAUGGAUUGAGCUGGACAAAUCAACAAAGUAGUAGGCCAAGCAGGUCAAGAAUUCCCUAAUCGCUUUCAUCCUCGAAAUCCAUGCAAAAGUAAAGUCAAGCAAUGUGUACAAUCCCAAAUUCCUGCAAAUCACAACAAGAACCUUCCCGACAAGUGAAAUGAUAUCAACGAAAAUCAAACUUAAAAAUAAAAACUAACUAAAAACAAAUAACGAAUAAUCAACUAAACUAAAUUAAUGACAAGCCAUUCCCCGGCAACGGCACCAAAAACUUGAUGUGCACGGAAGUACCCACUAAUUUUAAUAUUUAUAACCUGACAAACUUAGACUAACUACGCACUUAUAGGCAGUGUACCUAGUCUGAUUACAAUAUAGAUUUGGUAAGUCGGGUGUCGAUCACUGGGAACAGUGGUGAAUUAAUUUAAAAUAUUUGAUUAUAGGUUACAAAACACACGAAAUGAAUAAAGAAAUGGUUAUGAAAUCUCAAACGAACAAUUAAUUAACAAAUCUCGAUAAACUAACAGGAAAGCAAAUCUCUUUAGGUACUUUGGUUUAGAUAAAUUACACCUAAAAAGCAUAGACAGUUGCAUACACAAAUUUAUUUAUUCAUGUUCACCGAUUCCUAAAAUGAUUAGAUUCGCGUUCACUAUAACUAAUCCUUUAGCAAACAAGUCAAUGCUUCCUAGUGUUCAGUUCGUAUCAAGCAAGACUUGUAAAUAUAGUUAAUAAAAUUACCAAUUCAAAUUAACCUCUUGUUGAUGGUCAUCAAACAAGGCUCACACAUUAACUUACUUAUUCCCAAGUUAAUCCAAGUUUCACAUUCGUUAUUCCUANUCGAUGGUCAUCAAAAUCAUAAGAGACAAGCAAUCAAGCAGAUGUUCAUACAACUCAAUUCACUUAACAAUUAACAGCAAAUAAUCAUCAUUAAUACGUAAGGAUCUUUUAACAAGCUUGGCAAGAUAAAUUAACCACAAACAAACAAUUCAAUAUAGCAAUUAGUCUAAUAAUCAAAGCUUCAUUCAAUCAUAAACGCAAAGUAAAAGGUUUUUACACCCAAAUCAGAAACUAAAUACAAAAUAGUAACACAAUGGAAUGCUAAACAUGGUCACGUUAACAACCCAUAUGAUUACCGACAUGUAUCCGCUCUCCAACCCUUCCGAUCUCCGCUCCCGUUAGCUUAACGGCCUUCCGGCCGCCUUCUAGACCCUCAAAACGGCUUAACAGAAGUUUAAUAUCGACUAAAUUAAGUUGGAAAUCGAAUUCCCCUUUCUGGUUAGCUGAAAAUCGACUUGUAUAACCCUUGUAGCCGACUUACGUACGUUGGGCGUAAUGAAGAUUUCUACGCGAUUGAGUUUAUCCGAUGUCAGCCAUUACGCGGGGCGUAAUCUAAUAUUACGUUGGGCAUAAUUUGAAUUUGUUCGUUACGCUUAGCAUACAAGAAACUUACGCGGGGCGUAAUUGGCUCCACCAGCCCUUCCUUUAUUUUAGCUUCUAAGCCCGAUUUCUGCUUCAGUCUAUUCUUUUGUGCUUUAUCGACAACGAAUAGCUGCAAAUCAUAAUUUAAAGCAUUAUGAGUACUUUUUAGUUCUAAAAGAGAAUAAUAAAGGCCAAAAUAUUAAGAUAUAAUGCAUAAAAAUAUAUAUAAAAAUACACAUAUCAAAAUACCCCACACUUAGCCUUUGCUUGCCCCCAAGCAAAUUUACUUUUAUUUUACCAAUAUCGCACUAAACAAUCCAUUUAAAACUCAGCCAUUAUGUCAAGACCGCAACGCAUGCAUUUGUGUCUAAAAUUUUCCUAAAGUACCCCCCNNNNNNNNNNNNNNNNNNNNNNNNNNNNNNNNNNNNNNNNNNNNNNNNNNNNNNNNNNNNNNNNNNNNNNNNNNNNNNNNNNNNNNNNNNNNNNNNNNNNNNNNNNNNNNNNNNNNNNNNNNNNNNNNNNNNNNNNNNNNNNNNNNNNNNNNNNNNNNNNNNNNNNNNNNNNNNNNNNNNNNNNNNNNNNNNNNNNNNNNNNNNNNNNNNNNNNNNNNNNNNNNNNNNNNNNNNNNNNNNNNNNNNNNNNNNNNNNNNNNNNNNNNNNNNNNNNNNNNNNNNNNNNNNNNNNNNNNNNNNNNNNNNNNNNNNNNNNNNNNNNNNNNNNNNNNNNNNNNNNNNNNNNNNNNNNNNNNNNNNNNNNNNNNNNNNNNNNNNNNNNNNNNNNNNNNNNNNNNNNNNNNNNNNNNNNNNNNNNNNNNNNNNNNNNNNNNNNNNNNNNNNNNNNNNNNNNNNNNNNNNNNNNNNNNNNNNNNNNNNNNNNNNNNNNNNNNNNNNNNNNNNNNNNNNNNNNNNNNNNNNNNNNNNNNNNNNNNNNNNNNNNNNNNNNNNNNNNNNNNNNNNNNNNNNNNNNNNNNNNNNNNNNNNNNNNNNNNNNNNNNNNNNNNNNNNNNNNNNNNNNNNNNNNNNNNNNNNNNNNNNNNNNNNNNNNNNNNNNNNNNNNNNNNNNNNNNNNNNNNNNNNNNNNNNNNNNNNNNNNNNNNNNNNNNNNNNNNNNNNNNNNNNNNNNNNNNNNNNNNNNNNNNNNNNNNNNNNNNNNNNNNNNNNNNNNNNNNNNNNNNNNNNNNNNNNNNNNNNNNNNNNNNNNNNNNNNNNNNNNNNNNNNNNNNNNNNNNNNNNNNNNNNNNNNNNNNNNNNNNNNNNNNNNNNNNNNNNNNNNNNNNNNNNNNNNNNNNNNNNNNNNNNNNNNNNNNNNNNNNNNNNNNNNNNNNNNNNNNNNNNNNNNNNNNNNNNNNNNNNNNNNNNNNNNNNNNNNNNNNNNNNNNNNNNNNNNNNNNNNNNNGAUAAGUUGGCUGUGAACUGGGUUCUGCAGUCACUUCCUGAAUCAUAUAAUGAGUUCAAAAGAAAGUAUUAUAUGAUGGAUCAUGACGAAAACCUCAUUGACCUAACUUACAUGCUCAUUGCUGCUGAAUCAGAAAUGAUUUGGCAAAGCAAUGGAGCGUAUUUGUUGGGAAAGUCAACCAACCAUGCUUCCGAGGACGUUCUAGGAGAACCGACCUGCGUUUGUUGCCAAGAGAAAGGGCGUUGGAUACAAGUCUGCCCUAAGAGCCUGAAGAGUCCAGAAGAUGGGAGAGUCAAAGAGUAUGGUUGUGCUUCAGGUAAAAUCCACUAUCUAACUCCAUUAAGUUCCUAUUCAUUGAUUCUUAAUACAUAAUGUGAUAAGAUUGCAUUUGAAUGUUUUGCAGGAUCAGUGAAAAGAGAGGAAGCUUGAUGAAAGAGCAAGAUGAGUAUAAUCACGAAGAAAUGGAUCUCGAUCGCAUGAAUUCGAAGAUUAGAUUUUGAGCUUAGAAAGUUAUGAUAGAAUUGUUGGGAAUAUUUGAUUACAUAGUUUUUCAGUUGAUUUUGCAUUGUAAGGACAAAUAUUUUCCGCUGCUGUUAUGAAUAAAAAUAAAUUUUGAUUUGACUCAUUUAUUUAUUUCCUUGCAAUAAAAUUGUUAUGAAAAAUUGAUGUUUGCAUAUUUCUACAACAAAUGGAUGUGAUUCUUAUUAUGAUAAUUGUGAAAUGUCAAGAAUUUGCCAAAUAGGGAGAGUUUCUCAUCGCCCAAGUUUCAAUUGGACAGAAACUUGGAAUCAUGCAACUUGGUUGCACGAUGAAUGAGAAAUUUCAUAUUUGGAUAUUAGACUAAUUCGUUGACAAAAUGUCAAGUGAAGGACUAGGAGAUCGAGUACACAAAGUUGUGUGUUGAUCAAGUCCACCACAAGAGUAACAAAGAUGUUCGUCAUGAUUUAAUAAAAGUUUAGUAAAUAUGAUUAUACUUAUAAGAUUAAGUGUAAUUCUGAAUUGAUUGAAAAGGUUUAAAUCAAUAUCAAAACAAAUAAGAAGAAUCAAGUAGGCAAAAAGAUAAAAGUUUCUCUAUUCUAAGAAGAAGGGAGAGUACCUUUUAUUAUGUUUUAUGAUAGUUCUUAAUGAUUAAGAACCAUAUCUCAAUUGAUUCUCUAAGUGAAUCUUAGUGCAAUUGUAUGUUUGAGAAGAGGAAUCGAGAAAUGAAGAAAUGGUUAAAUCAUGAAGUCAAUCAUACUUCUAAAUCUUAGAGUUAAGAUUGUGACAUUGAGUGACGAGUAUUAGGAAGGUUGAUAACAUUCAUCAAAUGUGGAAAGUUGUGAUGUCUUAGAUAAGACAAAGACCAACUAGGACCAAUUUUAUGAAGUGUUUUGUCUUGAUAAAAGCUAUACUAACUCUUGAAUAUUUGUUGUCAAGAAAUGUUUAUUGACAAGAGAAUCUUAUAUGUCAAGGAGUCAGUGGGAGUCUUAAUGGUCUUGAAAAGUUUCAAGAACUGAUCAAGAAUAAACCUUAUCCAUCAUCACUAGCACACGAGUUGAGGUUUACAACCUAUCGUGUUGACAUUAUCUUGUUUCAGUGCCGUUCCAAUUGAGUUAAUUAUGCAUAUGAGCCCUACGAUUUCUCAUUUGAAUGCAUAAAAGACAAGGACCUUGAUCAAUGAAAAGUACAUUGAUUGGAAAGGGUGAGCUGCUUAACUACUUGGAAGACAUGGUGGGCAGCCGUGUUACCAUAAGGCAAGAGAUCAAGAACAAGAAAGUUCGGUCCAUAAGAGUUUGAAUUUGUCAUAAACUUUUGUUUUAACAAUUAACAUGGAUAGGAACACAUACACCAUUAAAAUCUAAGUGUCAUAAGAUUCCCUCCUUUAUGAAAAUAACUGUGAGGAAAUACUUUCACUAAAAGAGAAUUUAAGAAGAUAGUGAUUGUGAUAAUUGGAUUCUCGAAUUCGAUUAUGGUUACGGUAUCCCUUUCCAUGAUUCAAAUUGUGAGAUUUGGAAAUUAGUCUUAAUUGUUUAGACACACAUAUGAGCUAUAUAAAGGAAAGGUGUAUAAGCUUAGAUAAAGGAUUAUCAAAGCAUUAGGUAUUAGAAACAUGAACUUUAGAAAUUCAAUAAGUAUUGUUUUCUGGAAGUUAAGCUGGUUUCUGAAUACAUGUCAAAGCUAGUGAGAGCAUAAGUGUUAUGUUUAUAAUAAUCAUCAUGAUAGUGGGAGCAUAAAUUUUAUGAUUGUAUGAUUAAUAAGGCAAGUAUUGAAAUUUAGCAGUAUUAAUUAUAGAAAACAAGAGUCAUACUUUAAAAAGUUGUAAGGAUGUAAAGUUGUUUUGCUAUAAUUAAGGGAGAGAACAUUAUGCUUCAUUUCAACUCUAAAAGCUUAGGUUGUGGAUUGUUAAUAUAUUUAGUCAAGGAUACAUAGCACGUUCUUAAAUUUCGAUUAUGAUUAUGGCAUUCCUCUUCAUAUUUCGAAUUGUGAGAACGUAGCACAUAAAAUAUUAUGGCAGAAGAUUGAUAAAGUAUAAAAUCUUCAUGUAAGACAUUAUGCAUCAUGUCCCAUACGCUUCAGGUAUAGGAUCGAUUGCAAAUGCUAUAAUAUUUGACCAUUCUAAAAUUUUCCAAAUGUCUAGCGCAUUUAGAGGGAAAAGGACAAGAAUCGGUUUUGACUAAGAUAAUUAAACAUGAUGUGAUUUGUAAUCGAGUUUAAAAUCAAUUCAAAUAUGAAUUUAGGAAGAGUAAUAACGAUGAAUACGAGAGUAAAUAGAAUAUUUGUUCAGCUCAUAUUAUGUUUUUGAUUUUACAGAGUACAAUGAAUAAUAUGUAAAGACUGAGUCCAAAGUUGUUCUACACACUUAGUAGAGACCCCUAUUUAUAGGAGAACAAAAGCAUAACAAUACUAAGGACUAGACAGUAAGACUACUCUUUAUAAUGCCUUAGUACAAAUAACAUUACAUCCGAAGACUCCUUCUUACGAAGACAAAUAAACUUCGUAACAAUCUAACUGACACUUCGACUAUUACAACAUUUAAGCCCUAACAAUCUCCCCCUUUGGAAUCAAGGUCGAAGUCUUCAAGACGUCAGUGAUUGAACGACAUACAUCAGCACUCUUCGGAUUUCCAUGUACCAAGAGAUAACUUUCUUUAUCUCUUUCUUAUCUCCUUCCGAGUUCUUCUUGCAAUGGUUCAUACGAACAAUUAAGUUCGUAUAUUGCGAGUUGGUGUAUCUCUCCACUUCGCAAGUUUGAAAUAAGAACCUUUUAGCUCUUCCAGCUUUGUCUUUUCCUGCAAAAACAAUCCCCAAUGGCUUUAAACAGAUUUCACCAUCUUCGUAAUUUUUCAACUCAUUCUGCUUCUUCGAAGGUGCCAUUGGUGCAGUUAUGUCGAAGCCUUUGACAGUAGCAAGUUCGACAUCUGUUUGAGCUAAGCACUCAAAAUAAUUCUCCAAAAAUAUUUUUAUGUGCCUGCACCCAAGACUAAAAACAUCUGGUUUUGUAUCUUUGAGAAAAGAAAAUGACUUUUCUUUAAGCGUCAAGGCAAUGUUGAUUAGAUCAUAUGUGUUCAUCAAAGGAAAGUCUGCCACUGUAAAUUCUUGUAACUUUCCACUUGCUCUUGCCACAGUGUACUUCAAAUUUUCAAACUUACCUUCGAAUAUGACAUCCCUUUUUAUAGAUAUCACCUUCUUGAUCUUCUCCAAAAACCAUACUUCCUCUUGAGCCUUCGCUAAUACAGCAUGAAACCUUAUUUUCAUCUUCUUUCCCUCUUCGAUUUCCAUUGAUUUUGUUUCAGCCUUAAACUGUGGCAUAACAAACAUCAUUUCAUUGACUGGAAAGUCAAGUUGACCAAAAUCUGUGUUCGUUACCACAUAGCUCUUUUUCGGAACCUUUUCAAAAGAAUACAUGUGAUCAAACAUCACCCUAGAUUCUAUUGUUUCGUAGUUGUAAACUUUCGAAGGAUCACCCUUAUCAACAUUCGAACCAUCCAAAGCUCUUUGUCUCAUUAUACUUUGAACAUGUCUCAUUCUAUCAACCUCAGCUGCCACCUCAGCUUUCUUCUCUUUAUUUGACUUCUCAAUCAUAACUCCAUUUCCUUUGUCUUUAAUAUUUGACGAAGCUACAGUCUUUGAAGAAGAGACAUCACUCUGUUUCUCAAUUACAAUACCUUUUGAUAUAGGUUUUGAAAUUGGAACUGUUGUAGUCACAGUCGAAAUGACUGGAUCAGCUGAAACAAUAGUUGGCUUUACUACCACUUUCGAAGGAUAUACUUUUCCAACUACCUUCGUAUCUUCAUUUGUCUUCAUUUGUUCGCCAGCCUUUGUAUGACCAAUCCUUUCUCCCUCUUGCACCCCUGUGAUAGAAGGUGGGGCAUCUGAUAUAGUUGGUAAAAGGCUUGAAAUACGAAGUAGUGGAGCUAUGUUUUUGUGUAGGAUGGCUUCAAAAUGAGAAAAUUUUGAGAAANAGAAAUUCUUGAGAAACGAUUGAAGAGAUAGAUUUCGAAGACAGGUCUUGAAGUUCUUUCAACAACCUAACCAACUCUCCAAAAUUUUGUUCUUCUUUGGCAGAAAGAGAGGUCAUUUGAGGAUUCAUUUGCUCAAACAUUUUGACACAUUGUACAACGGUAUCACAAAUAAUGUCAAUCUUCUGAUGUGCGGAAUCAUAACCUUGUUGAAUAUUCUGAACCUCCUUCGUCAUCUCUUCACGAAGUUCUCGAAUUUGCAAGUUAACAUCUUCACAUACCUUCUUGACUUCUUGUACAAAGAGCACAUGACGCUCCUUCGUAACAAUCUUCAGAUCCUUUACCUCCGUCACAAAAUCAGACCUCAGAGAGUUGAUUCGAUUCUCUGUAGAAAUAUCAUUCUGGUCAAUCUUCUCAAGAACUCGACUUUCCGAAUCAUGAAUUAACCCUGAUGCCUUUGAAAUAACCCUUCCUUCCAUCUCCUUCAUUAAGGAAUCAACUUCCAUGGUUGUAACUCCAGCACUACCCACAUCUGCUUGAGAUUGCAAGAUAGAAUUCAAUUUCGAAUUCAAAAUCUUGAACUGCUUCAUGGUCAUCAGCAUAUGAUCAGGGAAAUCUUCUUCGGCUUUAUCAAAAUGAAGAGCUUCGAACGUUCCUCCAAAGCCUUCGUUAUCGGUUUCAUCAUCAGUAGCCAUGGUUUCAUCAAUAGGUGAGGAUGGAUGGGGUGGAUCAGUUGAUUGAGUUGAGAAUAUGGUGGUGAAUGGUUGAUCCAUAAUCGAUUGAAAUGUUGGUGAAUCAGUUAUUGAUGUAACCUGGGGUAAAGAAGUUGGUUCAAGAAGCUUCACAUCAUCAGGCUUCGAAAUACCAGCAAGCUGACUGAUAUCUACUUCUUUUGGAAUUUCAAUCUCUGGUGUCUCAGGAACUUGCUCUUCUUCUUCUAUUCUUUGAUUUUUCUUCAAAAAUUUUGCAAGAUCUUCAGCCCUUCGUUUCUUAGAUGAUGGAGACACCGGAGCUGGAAUUUCCCUAACUGUGACCCCUUGAUGUGUGACUUGUGUUUUCUUCACCAGCUGAGACUUUCUCUUUAUUUUGAUACGUCGAAAAACACCCGUCUUCGAAGGAAUCGUUUCUUUCGAUGGAGACGCUUCGAUUAUUGGUGUAUCAACCACUGAAGUUAAAAUUGGAGACACCUCUUCGACAAUACCAGCUGUAACCAUUGGCAUUUGGUUCUUCUUUUCUGCCUUCACUACUUUUUCCGAAGACCCACCAUCUGUCUUCUUCGAUUUCUUAGGCUUUUUCUUCUCUUCGUUAUGUAACAUUCCUGUAACGACAGUUGUGUCAAUGGAUUGCAAAUAUGACACCAAAACUUCAUUCGUCGGAUCCACCUUCUUAAGCAUCGCAUCUGGAAUGUGAGUUAUUGAUGUAAAGAUAGUCGGAUCAUCAUGUACCUCCUUCGGACUACCAUACAUGUGAAACACCGCCUUUUCUUCGAAUUCCGGAACUUCUAUUUUCUCCUUCUGAUAAACAUAUUGUACUAUCAGACUCCAAUAACGAGCACAAGAAAUCCCCUGCUUGGCACUCGUCUUCGAAAUGCUAGUUAAGAACUCUGUCCACAAUUGUUCAGAGUAAUCCACUUGCAGAUCAUAAUACAAUCCAGCAACCAUUGCAUAUACCUCCAUCCUUCCUUUAUCAAGACCCACAGUUCUUCCAGUAAGACAUCGAAGGAAAAUGCCAAAUAAAAAAUUCCAUACCGUAGGUAAUCCAAACUUCUUGAAAUCACUGAUACGCGUUAAAGGAGGUUGAUGGCCCAUCUCGUUGAACAUGAACAAAACGUCAGAAGAAGAAAGUUCAUCAUAAGGACCAGAAUUUGGAAUCCCCAAAAUCUUGCAAAACAAACGCUUGGAUACCCUAAUUCGCGUAUCAUUCACCAUAAUGAAUUCCACACAACCUGUCUCCUUGUUGUACGAUGCAGUGGAACCCACCUUUGAUAGCCAAGACAUUGGAGCAGCAAAAGAAUCAAACAUUGCUUUAGACAUAACUGAAUUCUGUAAAGCAACCACAAGCAUUUGGAGUUCCUCCGGAUACUUUGACAAAUCAGAUUCCACUUGGUAGUUUGAACCCUGUAUUUUCAGAAUCGGAAUACUAACAACUUCGUCUGUGGUUGGUGAUGAUGUAGUUGGCAUUGUUGAAGAUAAGAAUAAAGAACGUUUGAAGAAGAUGAGUUGCAAAGAGAAUUUUGUAUGACAAAAGGUUUGAUCGCAUAAAGUGUUAUUGACUUCUGAUUUCCCUUUUUAUAUGUAACCCUAGAAUUUUGAAUUUGAAGCGGGAUGCAAUAAAUGCUUGCUGACAUGGCACCUUGAAAUACGGACUUUACUCAUCAAAAAGUAACAAACAUAACUGUUAGCACGCCUUACAUGCUUAUCAUACACCAUACGUCACCAAGAAACAAGACUGUUUGAUAUUCCCCAAGAGAAUUGUAACCGUCGGAUGCCUUCGGAAUAGAGGUCAGGCUCUUUCACUUUGAGGUUUAAAAAGCGAAGUCAUAUGCCAGAAUUUCGAAAUCAUCAGUUUAAGUUGGUUUUACUCAAACCUCAAGGAUUUCGUGUGUGAUGUGUUCCAAAAGAAAUUAGAUGAGAAACAAAUGAGAAAAAAAAUGUUGAAAACUUGUGAUGUCAAAAAUUUAUUUUGACACAAAAACAGUUUAAUCCCAGGCAAAGAUUUCUUCGAAAAUUAUCAAGAGAGAUAAUUAACAACUUGUGUGGUGUCCCGUGAAUUACAAUCGAUAACUUGUAGAGAAGUUUCGAAGGGUUUCUUUUAUAAGUCAAAUGGGUGGCUUCGAAAAUUUUGUUACAUUUCAACCUUAACAUAAGGUGAUAAAUUGUAAAAAAAAUUAGUUGUAUGACCAAUGUAGUCAGUGAAAACUUGAGUUCGAAUGAUAUUCAAAGUGACUAGGAUUUUCGAAAUAUACUCACACAGAAAUCAUAUUCAUAAAAAAUUUUAUGCUGGAUCUUGUUGGGAACAAACAUCGUAGGUUUCGAAUAUUUGAUUAAGAUCACUCAAAAGAAAUGAAUAUGAUUUUGAGUAUAAAAAGGUACUGAAACAAAUGUUUUGUAAGUUCUGGAACAUAGUUCCCCGUCAAUUCCUUAAGGUUUAUGAUUUUUGGGUUUCACUUCCAUCACGGACUCAUGAUGUUAGAUCACAAACACAGAUUUGUGAUUUGUCUAGGUUUUGAUUGGUUUGAUCAAAGACCUCAAGGACAAAUCUCUUCAAAAAUUUGGAGUGUAAGAAUUGUUUGGUCUAAAAAGAUUGGAUAAGAAUCGAAGUGUACGUCUGUUAUAAUGGACAAAACAGAAAACUCUUAACUCAUUUGAGAAGAGUAAGGUAGCUCUUGUUGAAUUAUGCAAAUACAAGCCUUGUUGGGAAAAAAUUUUCAUGAGAUAAUUUCAUCAAGGCUUUCAUUUCCCAUACAUAGAAUCAUCUGAGGCUUGAGACAACAUGCAACAGCAUGCUUCUAGGGACAUCCUAACUAAUCCAAAAUGUAUCGACAUCAUACCUUCCCAUAGAAGACAUACACAUGAAUCUUUCGCAUUUGAAUCUUGACAAAACUCACAAUACACAUGUUAAAAUCGAAGAGAACAAAAAAUAUUUUUGGUAUUUUUGAAUUUUUCAAAUUAAAAAACAAACCAAAACAAAAGCUUUUUGGAUUUUUAAUUUCUCAAUAAAAGAAAAUAUUUUUGAUUUUUCAGGUUUUUUUUUUCAAAAGAAAAAAAAUAAACAAACUAAAAUUCUAACCUUAGUUGAAAUGUGUACAAAUACAAAGCAUUCAAACCGUUGACUUGAACAGUAAUCUCUGAUUAUGUACUUUAACAAGAAAUAAAUCUUCCGAAUGCGAAGCAUUCGAAGCGUUGACCAGGAACAGUAACCUCUGAACACUUAAUCACCCUGUUCGUCAGUUCACCAAAUCAUUCAGACCCAUCACUCUUCGCUUUUAUCACAUGUAAGUGAAUUUCCAUUAAUCAUACCCAAUCAUUCUAAGAUACGAAGAAAGGAUUUUUCAUCUAAUGCCUUUGUAAAAAUAUCGACCAAUUGUUCCGUUGUUUUCACAAAAUGAACUUCAAUAUUCCCUUCUUCAACAUGAUCUUUGAUAAAAUGAUAUCUAAGAGCAAUGUGCUUUGUCUUCGAAUGCUGCACAGGAUUAUGACAAAUUCUUAUUGCACUUUGUGAAUCACAAUAUAAAGGAAUCUUUUUCAUAUUAAUUGCAUAAUCUCUUAAUUGACUUUGAAUCCAAAUUAUUUGUGAUGUACACGCAGCUGCAGCAACAUAUUCAGCUUCAGCUGUAGAUAUCGAAACACAUGUUUGCUUCUUCGAUUGCCAACUGACCAACUUUCCAUCUAGUAAUUGACACCCACCAGUUGUGCUUUUACGAUCAAGACUGCAUCCUCCAAGAUCCGCAUCCGAAUAAGCUUGUACAAAGAACCCUGUUUUCGAAGGAUACCACAAACCUAACGAAGUAGUGCCUUUCAAAUAUCGAAAAAUAUUCUUCACUGCUGUUAGAUGUGGUUCACGUGGAUUCGAUUGAUACCUUGCACAAUUACAAACAGAAAACAUAAUAUCAGGUCUACUUGCAGUUAAAUACAAUAAAGACCCAAUCAUGCUUCGAUACAAAGUGAUAUCAACAGCAGAUUUAUCUAACGAAGGAGUUAGCUUUAUGCCCGUUGCCAUUGGUAUUCGUAACCUUGUGCUAUUCGUCAUUCCAAACUUUUCUAACAAAUUCUUCGUAUAUUUCUCCUGAUUAAUGAAGAUGCCUUCCCUGUUUUGACGAAUAUUCAAACCCAAAAAGUUAUUAAUUUUGCCCAUCAUACUCAUUUCAAAUUUGCUUUUCAUCAGGUCUUCGAAUUCUUUAGAUAAAGCAGGGUCAGUUGAGCCAAAAAUUAUAUCAUCAACAUAAAUUUGAACAAGCAUCAGAUGAUUUCCAAUUUUCUUUCGAAAUAAAGUGGGAUCAACUGAUCCUUGUUUCAAUUUAGAUUAUUUCAAAAAUGAUGUUAAAGUUGCAUACCAUGCUCUUGGUGCUUGUUUUAGCCCAUAUACAGCUUUAUCUAAAAUAUAAACAUGAUCAAGAUAUUCUGUAUUUAUAAAACCUGGUGGUUGUUCAACAUAUACCGUUUCUUCGAGUUCUGCGUUUAAGAAUGCAUAUUUUACAUCCAUUUGAUAAACAUCGAAAUCUUUAUGAGCUGCAUAAGCCAGAAAAAUACGAACAGCCUUGAGUCUUGCGACAGGGGCAAAUGUUUCUUCGUAAUCAAUUCCUUCUUGUUGAGAAUAUCCUUUAACAACAAGUCUAGCCUUAUUUCGAAUAAUGUUUCCAUCUUUGUCAGUUUUGUUUUUAUAAAUCCAUUUGAGUCCAACAAUUGACACAUCAAUAGGUUUUGGAAUUAAUCUCCAAACCUUGUUUCUUUCGAAUUCAGACAAUUCAGCUUGCAUAGCAACAACCCAAUCAGAGUGUUCCAUUGCAACCUUAACUGUCUUUGGUUCGAUUUUGGAAAUAAAAACAUUAAACAUGCAUAACUCUUGAUGAUUAUUCAAUACCUCAUUUCGUGCAUGAAGUUGUGCCCUUGUCAUUACUCCUGCUUGUGGAUCACCAAGAAUUUGGUCUUUUGGAUGAGUUCUUGUCCAUUUAUCCAAUGGUGGAUAAUUUUGAUCAAAAUCCAAAGGUGCAUCUUCAAACAUAACAUCUGUUUCUGAUCCAUUUAUGUACCUUGAAUCCUCAGCAUCAUCAAAAUGUUCUUCUUCAAGAAUUGGAUCCUUCUCAAGUAUGGGCUCCCCCUCGAUGAUUGACUCCGUUUCGAUGUUUUGCACUGGUUCAAUGAUUGGCUCUUCUUCAAUAAUUGGCUCCCCCUCAACAUUAACAUUGGUUGACAUGUUAUCACUUUCGCAAGAAUGCUCCCCCUCAACAAAACUGUUCGAAUCCAAGUGCUCCCCCUCCACUGGAUUAUCAGAUUAUUCAUUUGUGUUUAGAUUCAAAACCGAAAUUGAAUCAUUGUCAUGCUUCGAAUUUUCUGAUGUUCGAUUAUCGGGUGCAUUUCUUUCUGCAUCAGUUGUUUAACAUUUAUCAAAUAGUGUUGUAUACCUUCAACAAAUACCACUUGGNACUACCAUUCGUUGAAGGAUUAGCAUACUUGUCAUACGCCUCAUGUAUCUGUUCUUUCGAAAACUUACUUGAUUGAUAUAUUUUUCCUUUUCCUUCCAACCAAUGAUCAAUAUUUCUUUUCGUUGUUAUUCCCUUCGCAUAUGAGACUUUGUCAGCUUGUUUCUUCAAAGGAUUAUAACAUUUUGCUGAACUUGGAACAUAAUCCACUUUUGGUUUUGAAAUAUAUGAUUCAUGAUAAGAUGUAUUGAUUUGUGAUUUUGAAAUCUGUGUUCCAACCUUUUUCUGAAAAAUUUUCCUUGGUAGUGUUGUUUUUGUUCCAUUUGAAACUUUUGUUUUAAUAUUUGAAAAUGAAUCAUUUUUCUUUUCAAAACUUUGAGACUUUGAUUUUUCUCUAAAAACUUUUCUUCCUCUUGAAAAAUUUGUUGAUAUCAUAUUUAAUGAUUCAAUAGUUUGCCAAAAAAUUGUUUUUCUCGCUUGACGUUUCGAAAUAUUAUUUUCCUUUGAAAAAUUUUCAACUUGAGCUUUAAAUUCUUUUGAAUUUAAUUUUAUUGCUUUGUUGACUGUUUUAACAUCUGUUUUAACACCUUCGUGCUUUGUAAACACAUUUUCAGUUGGGUUAACUUUCUUCUUUUCAACUUUUGACUUUUCAACCCAUACUCUUUUUGGUUUUUGAUGUUGAAAUUUAUAUGAAUUCUUUGUAAGAUUGUUUUCAACUGUGCUUUGAUUCGAAAAGAAACCUUCAUUUGAAGUUUGCAUAUUGUCUUCCUCAACCAUCUUUUUGAAUUCAGGCUUUAUAUUUUCAACAUUACCUGUUGUUACGAAGACUUGAUUUGGGAACACAAUAUCAUCAGUGCAUUUGAAGAUUGGAUAAACAACAGUAUUCGAUUCAAGAUAAUGAGCACCUUUUUCACUAAGAAUUUUCUCAAAUUCUUGUGUAUCCAAAUAAACUUGAUCAACAACCACUCGAGGAAUUUCAAUUUCUUUCGACCUUUGAAUUGGCUUCGAAUUUGUGUUUUCUUCCUCAUUAUCACUAUCAUCGGUUUGACUAUCAUGUAUUUCCACAAACUCCAUAUCACAAACUUUCGAAGUUGAGGGUUCAUCAGUGUCAAUUUUUAUGAAUAAAUCUUCACAUUUUUCUUUCCCUUUAAAAGAAUUUGCUACAUUUAUGACAGACAAUUGAGAACAAUCUACAUCCUCUAAAUCACUAAUUUCACUAAUAUUAUCAGAAUUAUCUUCAAUAUCAGCAAAAUUAGUUUCACAAUUAGAUGUAGAAUUCUCAGUCUUUUUCAAAAUUCGAAGUUGUUCUGAUUUAGAUAAGGUCUCAUUUACAAUUUUUACUAAAUCAUUAGCAUCAAGAUAAUCUUCGACUUUAGCAAUUCCAAAUCUAAACCUAUCAUCUGGAACUUUGUUAAAAUCAGAAAUUUCUUUUUCACAAUCAUAUGAAAUACUAUCUACCUUAGCUCUGUCAUAAGCUAAAAAUGGUAGUAAUUUUCUAUGUUGUUCCUUACUUAUCUCACUCGAAUGAUGUAAUUCAGUUAAUUUUCCAUACAAUCUUUUCGCAGAAUUACAAAAAAUAUUUCUUUGAGCUAACAACAAGUUUAUUUCCUUUGCUAAACUCUCCCUAUCCUCCAUAAUAUUCGACACUUGCAAUUCUAAGUAAUCAAUCCUAGUGACUUUUGAAUCUAAUUUUUUUCUUGUCUCUAGUAAUUGAUCACUUAACUUUUUCGCUUCAUUGCUAGCAGACACAACAAUUGAAUCAAAGUAAGUAACAGUUUCAUCAAAAGAUACUAACUCAGAAUUAUAUGCAGAAACUGGAAUGUUAAAAGAUUCAAGAAUUUUACGUACCUUGGUAGUCAUGGGCGACCUGUCAGUAGACUUCGAAAAGAAGCAUUGCCCACGCACUUCAUAAGUCUGUUCUUCAUCUGAAUCCUCUUCCAUCUUUGCAUACAUUGCUCCAUGUGACGGAUUUUUCAUUUCUUCAUCAUCUGAACCCGAAGACCAUAUUUGAUAUGUGCCAUCCGAUUCAGUUUCUCCAUGAGCCACCAAUGACAAAUUCUUUGCCUUCGACUUUACUUCCUCCAGUUUCUCAGUGUAAUACGCUUCAUCCUUUGUUUUAUUUUUCUUUUCCUCCUUCUUUCUUAACAAGCAAUCUACUGCCAAGUGAUUUGCUCCAUAGAAAUAAUGGCAACUAAUCCCUGUAUCGCCUUUCAACAUCAUCUUCAUUUGCUCCAUUUCACUCUUCGAAUCUGUCUUCACUUCUUUCUCUUUUUCAUCCACUUUAUUUUUGUUCUCAAAACUACCCUUCGAAUCUGAUGUCUUCUUCUUUGGAUUAAAAGGUUUCUUAAAAAAUUUCUUUANUUCUUCUCAUCCACUUUAUUUUUGUUCUCAAAACUACCCUUCGAAUCUGAUGACUUCAUCUUUGGAUUAAAAGGUUUCUUGAAAAAUUUCUUUACUCGAUUGUUUGAGUAAAAUGCAACAGCCUCAUCAUCAGAAUUCAUCAGAAAACCUUCUUCUUCAUCAGACUUCGAUUUUUCAUUCUCUCUUUCUGAAACCUUCGAAACAAGUGCCAAUGGUCCACCAAGACUUGCUAUCGCUUCCUCAGCUAUUUCAUUAACUUCAUUUUCAUGAGAUUUUAAUUGAUUGUACAAGUCAUUCAAAGUCGAAGUAUCAAAACUCUGUUGAUUUUUCACCAUCAUACUCACACUCCUCCACUCCUUUCGAAGUCCCAUUACAAAUAUCAAGUUGUAUUCCAUUGAUGACCUUGUAAUACUAUAACGAUUACAACGAUAGAUUAGCUCGUUGAACCGAUCAUAGUAUACUUCAAUGGAUUCAGAUUCUUUCUGUUUGAAAUCUUUGAGUUCCACCAGGCAUUGUUUCACAGAUGUGAUCUUCGUCUUUUCACUUCCUUGAAAUUUGUCUUUGAGAUUGUUCCAGAUUUCUUUAGCUGUUGUGCAUGUUCUGACAUAAUUGUACACAACAGGAGGUAAGGCACCUCUUAAUUCCCUCAUGCAUUUCUUCUCCAGUUGUUUUAAACGAUUGGAUUGAUUAUCGACUUCCGAACUGCUUGAAGACGCACCGAUUGGCUGAACUUGUGCAGGUUGGUUGAUUUCUCCUGAGAUGCAUUUCCAUAAUUCUUCAUCCAAUCCGUUCAAGUAAUCUUGCAUACGAUCUGCCCAUUGAUCGUAAUAUCCUGGAAUAAGCAUCGGAAUCUUUGUGGAUGAACCAAACAAAUGAGAAAAUGAUGUCAUCGAAUUCAGAUUGAAUGACGCCAUUGUUGUACGGACAAAAACUUCAAGAUGAUACAAAAACUUUGAGAAUAUUAAAAUCAAAUUGUAUUUUUCAAAUCAGAAUCACACAACAACCACUCGAUUUACAAAUAUGUUCGCAGAAUCAAAUCCUAGAUUAAGAUCAAGAAGAAUUUUUCACACUUAAAAAGAACGGAAACUUUUUGAAUCAAACAAUAGAUUCAAAAAUCUUUUUGAACGUAUGAAAAUCAGAUCACAGAAAGGAUUCCUGCUCUGAUACCAAUUGAUGUGAUUUGUAAUCGAGUUUAAAAUCAAUUCAAAUAUGAAUUUAGGAAGAGUAAUAACGAUGAAUACGAGAGUAAUAGAAUAUUUGUUCAGCUCAUAUUAUGCUUUUGAUUUUACAGAGUACAAUGAAUAAUCUGUAAAGACUGAGUCCAAAGUUGUUCUACACACUUAGUAUAGACCCCUAUUUAUAGGAGAACAAAAGCAUAACAAUACUAAGGACUAGACAUUAAGACUACUCUUUAUAAUGCCUUAGUACAAAUAACAUUACAUCCGAAGACUCCUUCUUACGAAGACAAAAUAAACUUCGUAACAAUCUAACUGACACUUCGACUAUUACAACAUUUAAGCCCUAACAAAACAACUAUCAAAGGACAAUCCAAAGUUCGCCGAGGAUUGGUCUCUUGUGAGUAGUUGGAAGUAUGAUAUUGGAUGAAGCAUAUCGACAUUAUUAUGAAUAGAUAAGAUUCUAUUAAGAAUGAGUUGUCACAUGGUAAGUAUGGAAAGGUUUCCAUAUUGGGAGUUGAAUAUUAAGAAUCUAUGUCUAGAUUAGAAACUUUUAUGCAAGAAGGAUGUUCAAAGGAAUGUACUUUAAGUGAGAGACAUCACAUCUAAGGAAUUGUCUUGUAACAAUCUCCGAUAGAGGACUUUGUAGUUUCAUUCUUCAAAUGAAAUAACAACAUUUUUUGAUUGAAUGAACUUUCUAAGAAUAACAAAUUCUUUGAUACAAGUUAAAUUUUUGUCAUUACAUUCUUAAUAAAUAAAAAUCUUAAUAUACUAUUCUAUCAUAAUAAAACACUAAUUAUAACAAAACAAACACAAUUGGUAGAUUAUUCUAAAUGAAUAUUCUACCAGAAUAUAUACUAUAAUAUAUAGUCAUAUCAUUAUAUUGUAAAUUAUUAUGCCAGUGCUUUCUUUUGUGAAGAUCAUUGACCAUUGUUCAUCUUCAUCCCACAUGCCAUCAUCCAACCUUCCAACACUUGAUCAUUAGGUUCCUUUCACACAUUCUUUGAGAAUAAUUUCCUUCAAAUUGAGUAUUCGAUUAGAAUAACUGCCAUGAAAUCGAAUAUGUAAGAGUAACAUUUUAUACAUUCACCACGAGCAUUCUAAAUUUUGUGCAUUCUAAAAGAAAACACUAUAAAUUAUGGCAGAAAUCAUGAUAAAAGAUUAAUCCAGUUGCAAUAAAACCCUAGAAAAAUCAUUCUUGUGUGAUUUUACCAUAAUCAUUCUUAUGUGAUUAUACUAGAACUACAAUUCUGGAAGAAUCAUUCCUAUGUGAUUCUGGAAGAAUAUAAUACUCUUUACACAUUAUUCAAAUAAAAAAAUACAUUAGAUGCAAAAUAUUCUUAAAGAAUGAAACAGUUAAAGAUAAGAAUAACACCCGAUGAUGAUGUAAGAUAGCUAUUCUAUUAUUUCAGUUAGUUGAUCACUAAGUAAUAACAUUAUAGCACACAAAUAAUAACAUUAAUAGAGAUAAUUUGUUGUACUCCUGGUUCAGUAAUUACAUCAAACACAUGGUGGGCAUUGAUGAAUUCUAACAGAUUUGUACUAGACAUUUCGGUUGUCCAUGGGAAUUGGGAGUAUUUCCUGCAAAUUGCCAAAGUAUUUACUGAACUGAAUUUAACUUGGGAUCUAUGCUGAUCACAGAUGACUAAACGAGCAACUGGAAAUUGUUCCUUUACAAAUAGCGUCCAUAUUUGGGGAAAUCCAAGGAAAAGAAACAACAUGUACCUCGUGUCCAGGCUCGUUCUGAUACCCAACUUUUCGCCAUUGAGCAAGCGUAGAUCCAUGAAAUACAACGACUGUAAAAUAGGAAUCUAAAAGAAGGAUUCUGUCUGGAGCGAUAGAAGCGACGUCUAAGAGAGCUGGUUAAGACCUAAAACACAAUCCCAAGUCAUCUCAAUCUCCAAAAUGACGAACCAACCCAAUCACGCUAAAAGAAAAUAGAUUCAAUAUUCAAAUAUACAUGUACGAAUUGAGAGCGUCGCAUAUUGAUUAGGAUUAUGUGAGAUAAAGAAUUGAUCGUCAGGAGGGAAGAAAAGGGGUGCGUGCAUUUCUCUUCUCCGUAUCGUUUGUGCGCAUUAGAAAAAAAACGAAGAAGCGAUCGACUCCUUCUAUCUGUGAUGUGCGUCGACUGGAAGAAGAAAGAAGAAAUCAAGGUCUUUAUCGGUUGUGUUGUGGGGUGUCGGUCAUUCAUCUUGGUAAUUCCUUGAAUAUAAGACACGAUGCAAGAGAGAGACCAGGUCAAAAAUAUUGAUUUUAUUUCCUUAAAUGCAUGAUUUCAAUUAAAUGAUUCCUUAAUUAAAAAGUACAAAAUAUCCAGAAUACCCUUAAAUGAUUUAUUUAAUUCUUUAUUAUUUCUUGAAUUCUCAUUGGUGCAUUUAGGCACACAAUAAUUGCUAAAAACAUUUGAACCUAGCUCUCUCUCUCUCUCUCUCUCUCNAUAUAUAUAUAUAUAUAUAUAUAACAUUGUGGGAUUGAAAUCACUAUGUACUCACCAACUUUCCCAACCUGAGCCACUCAGCUUAUUUGUAUCACAUCUGUCGAUAUGAAGCUACAAUACACUGAGAGAUUAAAAGAGAUGUAGACCACUAGUAUAAAUGAAUGUAAGGUAUGUUUAUGCUUAUGUUUUUGUAUUGACAAUGACAUUCCAAAGUUUUAAUAUAAACAAAAUACAUUUCUUUGGAAAUGCAUUGAUAAUAUGUUUAUCAUGUUUUUCUAAGAACAAAUUCCGCAACACUUUUUUUAAAAGGACACUCUGAUUUUUAAAAUAAAGCAUAAACAAAUCGGUCUUUUCUGGCUAUGAAAAUGGGGAUGACACACCACAUAAUAUAAUUUUUUUGCUAGCUCAUUAAUGGACGAUGCCAUAGCAUUGCCAACUCAUCUCUCUCUCUCUCUCUCUCUCUCUCUCUCUCUCUCUCUUUCUUCUCCCUUUUUUUUUCUCUCUCUCUCUCUCAUACUGAUUAACGAUAACAAUUUUAACCUUAAGUCUUUAAUCAUCAAAAAAUACUCAAGAAUUAUGAUUUUUUAGACCAUUGUUAACACAAAACAAUUUCUCUCAUCCCCCAUUGAUGAUACUCACAGUGUCAGACUCCAAACGAUUUUCUUUCACGUACAACAAUAGUUUUGAAAGCAUUCGUUAACCACCAAUGAUUUUCUCACAUCUACAACAAAUGAAAUGGAGUUUUGUGUCUUCGCUAAGGAAUCUAAACAUUCAUCUCCAUUUUUCAACAUAUCUGAGACAUUUCACAUUUUUCACUAAACCCAUAAAAGGAAAUGAACUGGAUCUACUUCAAUUUCAGAAUGGAAUAAUAUCUCCUACAAUACAUAAUUGAUUGUUCGUGAACAAUAUCUCUUAAUUUCAAACAUUCAGACUGAUAUACCAAAUGUAUAUAUACAUGGAUGUCUCACGAUCUAGUCUCUUUUGUGCUAAGAUUAUGUUUUCUUGACCUAAAAUUAGCUUAUGAACAAAUUAGACAUUGUUCAAAGUUUUGUUGGUGAUUAUGAUCGCGUUCAUUCCGACGAUCAUGAUGUCAACCUUGUUUAUGGAAAUCAUGAGAUUCUCAUGGUAUAUGUCAUAUUUGAUUUUAAUCACAUGCCUACCCUUAAAUAUGUUGGGGGCACUACAAACUACAAUAAUCAUUGUUGUGAAAUUUUCGGUCCGAUCCCAGCCAUGACAACAAGCGAGAGAAGUUGGAAGUUGUUUACAUCACUUUGGUGUGAACGUCCAUUCUUAAAGCAUCGAAUAAAGUUGUUAGCUCUCAUCAUAAGCAUCUGUGUGUUACACACGACUCUCAUAAUGCUACAUAGAUAUGAAUUUGCAAUUGAAACCGGUUAAAAAAAGUCAAUGUCCUUAAUAAGCAUGUUAAAAUGGACUUUANAAAUUGAUUAGCUUGGAGGGUUAGAAUGACAUUUUCUCUAACAAGAAUAACGGAAAUGAAUAAAUAAGUAAAAAAAAUAAAAAAUAAUUAUCUUUUACAAGAAAUGUACUAAUGUAGCAUAGCAAUCACUUAUUUUGCAUAAUUGACCCUGUGGAACUACUUUUCGUGUAAAAUGUGUAUUUUUGAUUUUUUUUGUUCAUUUAUUUUUUGCAAAAAAUCAAAAGAUUUUGUGAAAUACAUAAUGAUUUUGCGUGAUGAUAUGAUUUAUAAAAGUAAAUAAAGAUACUUUAAUAGAUAAUAGAGACCCUUCAUAAAGCAAAUUUCGUAAUUAUUAUUAUUAUUUUUAAAUUGAAUCUCCUUUUUAGAUAGUUGUUCAAAAAGAUAUUCAUAAUUUUUAUUGAACUAAAAAACGGAUUAGUCCAAACAGAAAAUAAGAUACUUUAAUACCCACAUAAAGCCAUUUGGACGGUAUAAUUUCUACUCGUUCUAAACCGAAUCAGAAUAAACUAUAUAACUUUGUAUUAAUUAUAUUAACAUUAAAGAUAAUAUAAAAUCCAAUAGUAGUAAAAUACUCAUGAAAAUCACAACCAUCCAGGUGAGUAUGUCCAAAUUCCAAUUAUAACCUCGUUGGCACCGUCGCCAAUUACACCAAAAUCUCACAUAUAUAUGGCUAAUCCAACUGUCAACAUAUAAUCAAAAACUAAAACAACUCAACUAAGUCUCCUUUUAAGGUGGUACCCCUACCCUACCCAACCCAAUCCACCCCCACCCUACCCGUACCAUAACCCCGAUUUCUCUUAAAACAUCUUCAUAACACAAUCAUAAAUUCACCAAUUUCGGUUAUCUCAAGAGAAACCUUGUCCAAUUCCCAAACCACCCUUCUAAUCAUUUGAUAUCUUCUUUUUAUAUAUUUGCCACCUCGGGGUAUAUUCGGAAACUUACUUGCAAAGACUGUGUUGCUUAAGAUCGAUGAAGUCGGCCUAGAGGUAACGAAAACGGGUGUUUUGGUAUUGAUGUUGAUGGGGUUUGAGAGAAGCUUCAUUAUUAGUUUUGUGAUGCUAUGCUGUUUAUGUUCGUUGAGAGAAAUCAAGGGCGUGGACAAUUCUACCCUUCGUUCUUUAGAUGACCUUUUUCUUGAAUAUGCGGAGAAUUCACUACCAAGUCGACCUCAAACAGGUGUUUUAUAUAAUGCAUCUUUGCCUUCAAAUUUUACAGGUGUUAAUGUUUCAAUCAUUCGCCUACGAAGGGAUAGUUUCUGGAGGAAAGGGGCAAAUUAUAGUGGAUUUUAUAUGCCACCGAGGAUAUUCUCAUUGCCAAAUUUCACAAGGUUAGAUAUGGUUUUCUCAAAUCUUGGGAACAUGUCUUCUUACUACUACAAUGUACCAAAUUAUACUCUUGUCGCCUCUGUUGUUGGUUUCAAUGCCUAUGGUUCAAGAAACUCGACAGGGCAAUUUGGUAAUUUGACCACUCAGAUGACCAAACUAAAUCUCACCCUCUUCGGAGGCCCAAUUUUGGUCCAAUUUCCCAACUUCUCACUCCCACAAAACGAAAAACCAAAAUGUGUUGUGUUUUAUAUAAACGGGACAGUUGAAAUGACCAACAUGACCCUACAAGACAUGUGUGCCGUGCACGAUCAAGGGCAUUUCUCGAUCAUUGUACCACACCCAACGAUGGUGCCGCAUACCCCGAAAGAGAAGGAGAAAGGGCAAUUGUGGAAAUGGUGGGUGUUUGGAUUUGCUAUAGGGAUAUUAGGGUUGUUAUUUUUUGGGAUUGUUAUAUUUAUUAUAGUUAGAGCUUUUAGAAUGAGAAAACUUGAAAAAAUGGAAAAAGAGGCAGAAAGGAGUGAAGCUUUAGGCGCAACAAAUGUUGGGCAAAGUAGAAUGCCUUUGGCUUCAGCUGUUAGAACACAGCCUACGAUUGAAAAUGAUUACCAUCCAUAAUUCUUUUUUAAUUUUUGAUUUUUUGGAUUCAUAUAUAAACUGUAAUGUGAAUAUAACUACAUUUAUAAAAUAAUAUUUUGGGUUUUUUGUAAUAGUAAAUUGGAUAAUCAUUGUUCAUUUUAGAACACAACUAUGAAAACACAAUCGAAACAAACAUAAUACUAUAAAACGAUGUAUUAUUAUUAGCAUCCAUUAGGUCAUUAAUAGGAUCAAACUAAGAUUCUUUCAGCACCUCCUCGAGUUAAAUAGAUGUAGGCAAUGAUCCUACAUUCUCUUCUCAUUUCAUGAAUACCUGUUGGAACAUUUGGUGAUAAUCAUAAUAAGGAAUAAUCCAACAUUCUCUUCUCAAUUCAUGAAUACCUGUUGGAAUUUUUGGUGAUAAUAACAAGGAGAUGGAAAGGAGAUUAACCAAAAAUGAAAGCAAAACACAUUGAAUUUUGUACAAAAUUCUUUUCUUCAAAAAAGGAAUAACUAUAGCAGUGUGAGAUACCAAAGCAGCCCUUCUCAGACCUAUGUCGCGUAUCCUUCUCUUAGUCCUUCGUUAAUUGAGCCCCCAAUGUUUAAACUCGAUACCUCCUCCCAUGGUGUGCCCAAGCUUUGCCUGAUCGGAUACCAAGGUGAUGGUUAAAUCUUCCUUUUUGUAGUAGAGGCAUGUUAAGCCUUCUAGGUUUGUUGAUUUUAGGAUGACGUGUUACCAAAAAACUAUGUGAAAAUAGCUCUUUUAUUGUAGAUAUUAGGUGUGAGACCCGUGUAUUACACGGGUUGAUUUAAAAAAAAAUUAAACAUUAAAGUGUAAAUUAGUAAUAUUUUUUAAUGUAAAACUUUAAAAUAAGAAAGAAAAAAAUAUAUUUAUUGCAAUUUAAUAUUAUAAUGAUAUUUAAUACUUUACAUAUAUAGUAUAUAUUUUAAUUUUAAAAAUUGAAACAAACCAAAAAUUGAUAAGUGGAUAAUAUUUCUUUCAAAAAUACUAUAAAAUGACAAGUGUCAAAACUUAUGAGAGAUUGACAUGUGGCAAAAAAAAACCUUUAUUUAUUAAGGAGGAUUCUUAGGUCUUUGCUUUAAAUCUUUCUCCUAACUUUUUAAACAUUUUAAUUGUAAUAUUCUUUGUGUAUUAUUAUAUUCAAUAAGAAUGCACAAUUCACAAAACCGUUGUUUUGUUUACUGGAAGAGGCAUCGACUAAUAUCUUAGAGGUCUCAAGUUCGAUCCACUCUCACAAAUUUCUUUUUUCUUUGCUGAAUGUCAUCAUCCAGUCACCAAAAAUUGCUACAUCAUAGCAGUUUCACAGAAAAUGUGGCGAAAACCACCUAAAUACCAAAAUAAAGUUUCUCGGAAAUCAAAAGGUAAAAUCAAAAAAUCACGACUUAAGAGCUUUCUUACAUAUAAAAACCAUUAUACAAUCAACACUUGCUUCUGUUUGUUUCUUCUGUUUGUUUUUUCUUUAAGAAUGUGAUAAAGAAAAUAUCAAGGAAAAUUAUCAUCCAAAAAGAUAUACAUUUGUAACUGUUGGAAUUAAAUUGAAGUUUAGUGAAACAUAUGAAAGUUAUAAAAAUUCAAAAACAUAUGUACAAGGAUUUAAAUGUCAUUUAUUUUUCAAAGUUUUUUUUUCAACUAUAGCCACUUUCCAGUUAGUAAAAUCAAGCAUUACACAUGUCAAUAAGUCAAAUGUGUUCUAUUGUUUUUUAGUUUCUUCAAGUUUUUGUAGAAAAAACAAAAAUACACAUCGCAACAACUUAAGCUUCGACAUGUAAUAUGAACACCCAACAUGGGAUAAACUAAGUGAACAGCUAAUUACAGAGAUACAUAGGAUGUUGGACAUGGUUGUCGGUGAGAUAAAUCAAAGACAUUGUCAUAGGAGACAACGGUAAUUACAUGUUUAUGUAUAUGAAUUGCCAUGUGGCAUCUUGUGAGAGGCCAAACGUUGUGUCACAUCCCAAAAAUAGACAUAAAAAUUUUAAUUUUUAAUUUAUCAAUUCAGAUAGUAUUUGUCCAAAAACCCAUCAUAAUAUCAAAUGUAUCAUAAUUAUCAGAGUACACUAAUAGUCAUCAACGUGGAAAUCAUCAAGGGGAUAAUGUUGUGCAGUCAAGUCGUGUCCUUCCUUUUAGAAUUGAAUGUACCUGAAAACAUACAAAGUUUAGUGAGUUCCACAAAAUACCACAUACCAUACAUACAUUACCAUGGGCUACCCCAUGGUCUUGCAUAUAAGUGCCAAGGGCUACCCCUAUGGUUAUUCAUACGUUUGUCAUGGGCUACCCAUAUGGUCUUUUCACGUAUUGCAUUGGCUAUCCCAAGGUAUUAUAUACAUGUGUAAUGAGCUACCCCAUGGUCUUUCAUACAAUUUGCACGGCCUCCCCCUAGGGUCUUCCAUGCAAGUAUCUCAUAGACAACUAACAUCAUACGCAAUAUAUUAAGAAGGUUGACAUGUCUUACAAAAUCAGCUAAGAACACAACUUACUACCACAUGAACAAUGCUAUGACCCACCUAUUAAAUCAAAGAAGGUCCCACCUUAAUCUAACCUCUAAAGCUGGCCAUUUAGCGAAAAGUCAAACCAGGUCUAGGUCAAAUAGUUGACCCUCAUGGUUAUGUUGUGGGGAACGGACUCAACCCGGUCCCAACUCAGUCAUGAUUCAACCUAAUAUUAGCUUAACUUAGUCUCAAUCCAACUCGUCGUUACGUCGUGUGCAACAUUGAUGCGUAAUAUUAUACAUACUAGAUUUACCAACUAUUUAACUAAUUAUUAUGACUAAGGAAGUGGACCUACUCGCCAACAAUAUAGCACAAAUAGUUGGGUAUCGAACUUAUGGAACGGAUUUAGUCUACUAACCUAAGUACUAAUAGAUUAAUCUAAAAAGCAAGCGUUAAUUAAAAGAGGGUUUUAUUUGAUUUUUCAUGUUCAUAAAAACUUAAACACUUAACUGAAAAAGGUUUUAAUCAGUAUAAGAAAAACACACUUUCGUUUAGUUCGAAUCCACCUUUUCCCUAUGGUUAGUUACUAUUCAUAGAUUAAUAAAGUUGGUUACCAAUCAUUAUUUAAUUAGCAAUUUGAGUCCAAUUUACUAAUAUUUUCACCGAUUCAUGUACUACCAUGUAUGCUCAUACACAAGAAAACACAUAAUUAGUUCUUAAUUAUAGAUGGGCUAUAUAAGAUUUAUCUAAGAAAACACAAUUAUGGUCACAACUAUGUUCUCCAACACAACUAAAUUUGUUACUUUUAUUACUUAAUCUAGAUGUAGUCACUCCUAGCUCUAGAAAUUUAAUAGUUACUAAAUCACUAGGUAAACAACUACAUGUAAUUUAAUGGUCAUUAAGCUACACAUAACUUGAAUUUAAGCAACAAAAUCACAAGCUUUAACAUGCUAGGUAAUGAUAAUCAAACACAAACACAAAACCAACUUAUAAAAUCCAUAAACUAAUAAACUAAGCCAUAAAUUCAAGGUUUCAUCUAGCUAAACGAAAGUAAAUGAGUUUAGCUACUCAUGACUGAAAUUAAACACACAAAUUUAAUAGAAAUCGACAUUAUUAAAGUAUGCAAAAUGAAUGUGAUGAUUUGAUCUUCAAAUUCUUAAUCUUCAAGCAAACUCUCAUUGACAUGUAUAUUUCUCGCAGGUUCCUGGCCUCCAAAUUCGAAUAUCCCCCAAUAUCUCUCCUCAUAAAAGCCUCUUCAAUCGAUAAUGGAAAGGAUUUUAUAUGGUUUUUGAAAAUGCGUGGCUCACGUCGUGAGAUAGAGUCUCACAUCGUGAGUUGGUUGUCUAUCCAUAUCGAGCAAGGAUUAUGAAUUUCCACGUAAUGAUCUUCUAGAAUUUCUUCCUCACGUCGUGAGGUUGAUUUGUCAUGUCGUGAGUUGGGGUUUUCAGCUAAAAUCUUCUUCUUUUAAGCUCCAAUCCUCCAAAGUUCCAAUGUGUGUGUGUUUUUUUUUUUUUUUUUUUUUUUUUUUUUUUUUUUUUUUUUUUUUUUCUGCCCUUUUUUUUUUUUUUUUUUUUUUUUUUUUUUUUAUUUUUUUUUUACUUCUGGCCCUUAUUCUUCAAGAGUGUCUUAAUUGGUUGUAAAAUGUAAAUUAAUUCAAUAAGUAUCGCAUAUCUUUCUAAUUAACCAAAAUAUUAGUUAAAUGUAUUAAAUUAUUGCCUCAAAAUGUGUAUAAAUAUGACAAUAUGAAAAUACCCCACACUUAAUUUUUGUUUGCCCCCAAGCAAAACGAAUUAAUUUUAAGUUAAACUUUCAUUACCAAUAUCAUAUAAGACAAUCCAUUUUGAACUCAACCAUUAUACCAAGACCUGAAUGAAAAUAUUUGUGUCUAAGGUUCCUAAAAACUUCCCAAUCCUAAAUACUCACAAUCCUUAUGAACCUUAACCCCUUAGUUUAUAUGACACUCAUUUUUGCAACCCUCCGAAUCCAUCCUUAUAAAUCUUUCGAGUUGGAAACUUUACAUGUUAACCAAGUCCUAGGAACCAAGAUCUAUGAAUGGAAUGCACUGGAUUCAAGCAGAAUCGAGUGUAGAGAGAUUGCAUGAAUGCGACUCGACAAGUUGUUCUUCGAACUCGGCGAGUCGAGUCGCGAGUCCCCGAUUUUUCCCCUUUUCGAGUAGCUGAGUAGAGAAGUGAGCCAUAGGUGGACUCAGUGAGUCAGAAGCCAGACUCAUCAAUGGAGGGACUUGGCGAGUCAAUGCCCUGACUCGGCGGGUCCAAGGCAAUCUUCAUAGAACUCGGCGAGUCGAGGACAGAACGUGUUCAUCGGAUGAAUAUUGACUUGACGAGUUGUUCAUACAACUCGGCGAGUUGGAUGAAGGACUAUUAAGUAUUCAGUUAGGAAGAGAACUCAUCGAGUCAAUGCCUAACUCGACGAGUAGAGACGGGAGUAAGGUCAAUCGACUGGAUAUGGACUCGACGAGUUGGCAAGCNAGUUGGCAAGCCAACUCGGCGAGUCGGGUCAACUGGAAGUUGACUUUGACUUGGCUUUGGUUUGGAAUCGGUCAGGGGUAAAAUAGUCAUUUUACCCUAGGAUUAGUAUCAAUGUCUGAUUAAGUGUUUUAUGGAAUAUAGUCGGGGAAUCACCGGAGCAGCUGUCAGACAUUUGCGGCUCAGCUUUUCAGCAGUCAGCUUUUUGAGGUGAGUUACCUUCCAGUAAGGGUGGGUCUAAGGCCACAAUGUCGGCCCACCAAGUAGGAGUAUUUAGAAGAUGAUUGUCUUUGUGAUAGUUAUCUUUGUAUAGAUACAUGUUUGGUUAUGAUAUGUAUCUGUAUGAUAUGCUAUGUGUAUGAUAUGCUAUGUGUAUGAUAGGAAUAGUUUUCCCCUGACAGUGGUGUUUAGGAACGAAGUGUAGGUCAGUACUUGGAUAUGCCUGAUUGUAUGCUUAUACCUUGUUGUUGUAUGCUAGUAGUAGUAGUAAGGGGUAGAAUAGACCCCAGUUACCGGUUGAAAGAUACCGAUGAUGAUUACCGGUUGAAAGAUACCGAUGAUGAUUACCGGUUGAAAGAUACCGAUGAUGAAUACCGGUUGUAAGAUACCGAUGAUGAUUACCGGUUGAAAGAUACCGAUGAUGAUUACCGGUUGAAAGAUACCGAUGGCAUUGUAUGGCAUGUCGUAUGAUUGGGGAACUCACUAAGCUUCAUGCUUACAGUUUUAAUUGUGGUUUCAGGUACCUCUUUGUCANUGCCUAAACCUGAAUUUCGGGACGAAAUUCCCUCUAACAGGGGGAUCCUGUGACAACCCAAAAAUUUCCGUUAGUUUUAACGUCGAAAUCAAUUACGUCAAAAAUUAGCCAAAUUUAUCCCGAAAAUAUUUUUGACCGGAAUUAAACCCGUUAGAAUAUUUUAAAUAAUAUUCGUUAAGCGAACCAAAAUUUAGGUAGUAUAAUUUUAAAAUGUUGCCGUGUUUAACGGUAGUCGUGAAAAACCCCGUUCGCGGUUGGUGUCAGGUGAACCCUAUCCAGGCCAUAAACUCCACCCUAUAUAAGGGUUGAGUGGGUUUCAUUCCCACCUUUUUUCCCACCUAACACACUCUCUCUAAAAAACGACUUUUGGUCAAAAAUCGCCCCUUCCAGCUUCAAAUCGGUAAGUUAACCUUCCUAGCUUGUUGUUUAUCUUAUCUAGCUUACGAAUUCGUGUUUAAAUUACCCAAAAUCCUCAAGAACAUGAGUUUAUGGUCCAAGAACACCUUCAUGGACCGUAAGCACUCGUAAAUGGGGUUUUAAUGCUAAAAAACCCUUCCAAAUCACUUAUGGAGCUUAGUUAUGACAUAGAGGCUUACAUGAAAGGACUUAGAACACCAAAAUCAUAGCAAAUGGUGAGUAAACAUGAGUUUACGGUCUAAGAACAUUCUUAGACCGUAAACCAAUCUUCAUGGACCAUAAACACCUUUUUAGGUGUUAAACUACCCCUCAAACACCUCCAAAAGCUUUAAUGAGUGCCUAGAGCCUUGUAAUCCUUCGUUUGAUGCACCAAAACAUAAGAUUCAUGGACAACAUGAGUUUACUAUGGUAAAAUCAUGUGUUUACGGUAGUAAACUCCCCAAGAACACCUUCUUAGACCUUAAACACCUUUCCAAGGUGUUUAAGUGCCUUUAACACCUUCCUAUGCUCACAUAAGUGACUAGAACCUUGCAUGCAUGAGUUAGAACCACCAAAAAACAAAAGAAAUGGUAAAAGAUGAGUUUACGACCGUAAAAUCAUGUAUUUACGGCCGUAAAAUCCUCAAGGAGUGGUCAAUGGACCGUAAGCACCCUAAAAUGGUCCAUUUGGAGCCUAAACCAUUUCCUAUGCCCUAAAAUUGAACCUAGCCUAAUUCCACGAGUGAGAUAAGACCUUAAAGCAUCCAAGAACACACCACCCAUGAGUUUAUGACCGUAAACUCAUGGGGAUAAGGUCUUAGGGCCGUAAACUCUAUAAAGAGUUUACUCUUGAAGAGUAAACUCCCUAACUAGGCCAUACACUCCCUUAGAUGUUACCCGGGACACUCCUAGCACUUGACCAAAGUGUUUUCCGCUCAUUAGGAUGCGUAUACGUGUUUAAUUAGUAUUAUAAUUACUAAUUGUAUGUAAACAUAUGUCAUCAUAUGUUAAUAGGUCACUAAGCGUGUUCAAGUCUUUACUUGACACCGAGCACCCAACCGGCACCUCCGCCCGAUCCACUUACAACAGGUGAGUUCAUACCCCUGAAUUAACCUUUUAAAUGUUUUUACAUGCUUUUAUGGGGGGAGGGGGAAUACAAGUUAAAACAUGCUAGUUAUCAUAUCAAUCAUAUGUGAUUGAUAACCCACAUGCACAAGGAUUAUUACACUGUCAGCUGUUUUACCAAGUAUGGUACUAUAAAUGGUUUUUCCAAAACGUCUUUACUUGGUUAAAUCUUUUCUCAAAUUGACUCUCGCGCAGUAUGUAUUACUUCAAAACCAGUUACAGCAGUAUUUUAAACAAAGGUUAUCCUUACUUAUAUUGUUUUAUCAAAAUUUAUAUUCAAAACUUGUUUAUGAAAGGUUUUCAAGGAUUUCCAAAGGUCUUCAAACUUAUUUUACAAAAGGUUAUCAAGUCACGAUUUUCUUAAGUGUAAAGGUUUUCCAAAGUUUUCAUCUAAUCUUUCUUCCAUGCUUCUAUGCUUCUACUUCAUUAAACGCUUCUACUUCAUUAAACGCUUCUACUUCGUGAAACGCUUCUACUUCGUUAAACACUUCUAGUAGGUUAAAUGCUUCUACUUUGUUAAAUGCAUGCCUGUACUUGUAUAGUUAUAUAAAUAAUGUUUAAAGGACUUACGAAGGCUAGUUCGCCCUAUUUCCUUUUCCUCGUUUGGAUGUGGUCUGGUGGGAUCGGAUAUCCGUCCGAAGGUCGUUUAGUCAUUAAUUAUGUAUCAUGUAUACAUGUAUAGACAUAAAGGUUUACAUCGGCCAGUUCAUUUCCCUUGGGUAGUAAGGGCAUUCUCCUACUCGUCACUCAUAGAUCAGAGACACUAGUAACUAUUAUAGGAAUAGUUAGGAAGCUCUAUUUACUCUUUCUAGUACGCGAAUUCCAAAGGAGUCAGUUCAGUUGUGAGUCUCUAUCGAUAGUCCAGUACCUACAUCAGAAUUCACUAUACGGGAUGCAUCUUCAAGACACGGAUCUCCCCUUCAUCGAGUUGGUAUGCAGAGUCUUCUGUAGGGAGAGCGAGCAGUGUGUGUAUAGAUCUAUACGGGACUGACACUCCCGCACCCUGACUGCUAGCUACCUUGUAACACCGAAAAUUUCAAAACAAUUUUUCAUUGAAAAAUAAUCGUUUAAUUCUUAAAAACACUUUGCUUAAAAUCUCGUUCAUAAUCAAAUUACAAAACAUAACCCCAUUUUCACUUGCAUAAGNAACCAGGAUCCUCAAAACAUGACUCUUUCUCUGGUGUGUACAAUCGAGCCGGUGCCGUCCCGUGAUCCUGAGAGAAACCUGAAACACAUAACACAAAACACUAUAAGCACGAAGCUUAGUGAGUUCCCCAAAAUACCACACAUAACACAUAUUAGCCACUCGAGGCUAUAACUCUGUGGGUCCGUGGACCCUACUCUAUGAACCCUCUGGUUCUAACUCUGUGAACCUUCCGGUUCUAACUCUGUAAACAUGCACAACAUAAAUCACAUAGAAAUAAUGCAGUACAACACAUAACAUACAUAGCAUACAAAUACUCUGUCACAUAACUCUGGUUACCUACUCAAGGUAAAGUAUAGUGAGAAGACUCACCUGGCAAGCAGAAAGCAGAUAUCCCCACACUUGAAUCUCGAACUCGCCACCGCCUAACACAUAAGGCAAAUACUCUCAUGAAUAUAACUCUCGAGACUAGAAUCAACCCUCUCUUGGCACCCUCUUAAGGGUAAAAGACCAUUUUACCCCUCUCUUGGCCCAAAGGCCACAUCGCUGACCAAACCCUAAAAGUCAACAAAAGUCAACGGUCAACUUUGACCGGACUCGGCGAGUGCACUAGGGCGACUCGGCGAGUCUAUACGUGUCCACUGACUCCUUUGGAUCCUCUCUUGACACGUCGAGUAUUUCUCUGACUCGACGAGUUUCUCCUGGCAUAAAUCGUGGGGCCCCCACGACUCAACUCGCUGAGUCUUAAGAACAACUCGGCGAGUUCUGGCUUGACUCAGUCCCCCCUGACUCUCCCUGACUUACUAAGUCAACCCCUCAACUCGACAAGACCACUCGUUGAGUGGUUACGGGCAACUUCAUGCUACUCGCCGAGUCUAUUCUUCAGACUCGGCGAGUCCAUGCCAUGCAUAACUCAAACUCACUUCUGAGGUCAGAUCUGUUCCAUACAAUCAUAGAUCUGGCCUCCCCAGGCAUGAUAAUCACGUAAAGUCCAAACCUUGGUGCUCAAACAACAACUAUUUGCUCCUAGAUGAUGUUUUAGCCCCAUAUCUCAUAACUCUAGGUCAAAACUCCCAUGAAUCCUCAUAAAGCUUAAGGAAUAAAGCUUCUCUGGACCUCUAUGGAUCUCAUCCUAAGCCUCAUCUCCGAUAGGGACGAAAUGGACAUCAAAUCUAACUAACAAAGGGGUCAAGAAACCCUAACCCCCAUGUUUAUCAUGACAACAGAAAAGGAAGCAAAAAUAUACCUCCAAGAUGAUGCUCUGUGCUCCGAAAUCGAAGGAUGUCCACCUCCCUUGCCUCCUCUUAGCUAGAAUCUCAUUUUCCUUGCCAAACAAAGCUUCAAAGGUCAACAAUGGCCUCUUCUCUCUCCCAAAAUGCUCAAAAUCUCUUUAGGGUUUCUCUCUGGGGUUGGUGGCCACAAAUGACGACCAUAAGCCCCUUUAAAUAGGUCCCAAACCCUGGAAAUUAGGGUUUCAUUAAACAACGUGGACUCACCGAGUCCACUUUUGGACUCGCCAAGUCUAGACGUGAACCCGUGUACAAAACUGCAAUCCUAUUCGGCGAGUUUGGACUCCAACUCGCCGAGUCUCCUCACAAUCACCCAAAAAUAAAGAAUAAAACAAUACUUGGGAAUCCGGGGUGUUAGAAUUCUCCCCCUCUAGAAUUAGACAUCGCCCUUGAAGUCUCGCUCUGCAAAUAACUCCGGAUGCUGCCCAUGCAUCUCACGCUCCGGCUCCCAAGUUAACUCUGACCCUUUCCUAUGCUGCCACUGGGUCUGCACCAGUGACACCUCUUUAUUCCUCUGAACUUUAAUCUUUCGAUCUCUGACCGCCACUGGCCUCUCAACAUAAUUCAGGCUCGCAUCCACCUGAAUAUCCUCUAGUGGCACUACUACUGACUUGUCGGCUAUGCAUUUUCGCAACUGCGACACGUGGAAAGUGUCGUGAAUCUGAUCCAACUCUGCUGGCAACUGCAAAUGAUAGGCUACCCUGCCUACCCUCGCGACCACCCUGAAUGGACCAAUAUAUCGGGGCCCCAACUUACCCCUCUUCCUGAAUCGAAUCACUCAUUUCCAAGGAGAGACCUUCAGGAGCACAAGGUCGCCGAUCUGGAACUUGAGCUCGGACCGGUGCUUACCCGCAUAACUCUUCUGACGACUCUGAGCGGUCAAUAACCUCCGCCUGACCUGCGGAAUCUGCGUAAUCGUCUGUAACCCAAUCGUCGUACUACCCAUAACACGCUGCCCGACCUCUCCCCAGCAAAUGGGGGUCUGACACCUCCUCCCAUAUAACAGCUCAAAGGGUGGCAUACCAAUGCUCAAAUGAUGGCUGUCGAUAUGGGAGAACUCAACCAAGGGUAAAUACGUGCCACAACUCCCUCCGAAAUCUAAUACACAUGCUCGAAGCAUGUCUUCGAGCGUCUGAAUUGUUCGCUCGCUCUGAAGUGUCCUCAGACAUCCCCAUGAUAAGCUCUAGCUCAUUUUUCAUAUCCCUUUUCGAGACUGAGCACCAAGUCAGCUUUUGACUCCACAGCUGAGCCUCCAAAGGUCACCCAUAUUAUGAUCCAAAUAUCCCACUAACUUCCUCCCCAUGACCACUAUCCCGACCCAGUGACACGCAAGUCACGAAAUUCUCUUUUCCUUAUGCGAAAAAAAAUUACAAUCCAACCGAGGAUCGUCUCAAAUCUGAUCUCUGGUGUCUGCUGCGCAUAUCCCUUGUGCAUUUCGUCGAAUCUUCCGACAGAGACGGAGACCCCCGUCUCGCCCCCAGUUCGACAACUAGGCUCCAAAAACUCAAUACUAGGGCUACUCAAGCCCAAAACUCUUCCACAUCAUACACUGAUCGGAGAACAAUCCAUCAUCACAUUCUCUUGCCAUCUAGUGGGUACUAUGGCUUCCCGCAACAUUACGACAGCCUUUGACUCGUGAGUACUACGGCUCCCUGUAGUAUCACAACGCCAACUAACUAGUGAGUACUACGGCUCCCCGUAGUACCACGACUCCCUCCCUCUGACUUGUGAGUACUACGGCUCCCCAUAGCAUCACAACACCCUCUGACUGGCGAAUACUAUGGCUCCCCGUAGCAUCACGACUCUCUCUCUCUCUCUCUCUNAUAACACCCUCUGACUGGUGAAUACUACGGCUCCCUGUAGCUUCACCCUAUACUCUCAUUCUCAUUAUAACGCCCCACUAUGUUCACUAACUCAAGCACCGAAGACUAUCAUAGAUAGUUACACACACACUUGCCCCGAUAUGCAUUACAGACUCUGGCGGCAACCGCCAUAACAUAGAACCUACCUCUACGGAGAUCCACUUCCUUAAAUAAUCCCCCUUGAUGACAAUACACGAAGGGCUCCCAUUGGAACUGUGGAUACAUGAUACAUCACUAGUCGUCUCAGCUCAAGAAUCAUGAAUAACUCCGAAAUCAAGAUAUCAUACCCGGAUACCUCGGAACACCCCAACAAAACAUCACAAGAUCCUGCCACAACCACUAAUCUCCUGCCCCAAGCAUCAUAUAGAUACAAUAAUACAUUUCCUCUGAAUCCCAUAAUAAUUUCCUAUUUCACUCAAUGCGCAACUUCAGUGCAUCCAAACACUCAAUUGGAAUGCAAGGAAGGCGCUAACUCUUCAGAACACACUGAUGAUCCUCCGAAACCCUUUCCACUACUGCUCAAAAUCCAAGCAAGAAUACACAUCCCAGCCCGGGAGUUGGCUACUCGACAAUCGUCUAUCCAUAAUUCAACUCAGAAGUUCUCAACUGCCCAUACCAUCAUUACGAGUCUUCCACUUGAAACGACUCUGACCACCACCAGAUUCCUGACCAUUGACCACCCACUGCAGAGCCACCCAUCCUUCUCUUCGACAUAUAACACAUGCAUUAUCUCGCUCUGCACCUAUCCUUGAUCACCAAUGACCCUGAUCUCAUGAAUUCAAGCCGCAGGUUUCUGUAUCCAACCCCUAACCGCUUUUGCACAAAUUCCUGGUUCUCUCAAUAAACCACCUGGUUCUCCCCUACUUAGGCUUCGAACCAUCACUAUCUGACACAUCGAUAACCUCACAAACUAUUUUCACCAGCAAUAACGCACCUGCCCCUGGAAAGUGCUACGCAACGCCCGAUAAUCCCCCUUAAGGAAAUCAAUCGAUCUCAUAACUCUGAACCUCAUAUGAAAUCCUCAGGAACUUCUCGCCACGACUGCCUCUAGUCGUCCCAAGUCUCAUACCAAUCCAACACCAAACAACUCAACUGUCCAAAAACAUCACUGACUCAUAGACUGGACCACGAAAUCACCGUACUCCCCCACCUCAACUCAUCAACCAAUGUUCCAACACAUGGAUCAUCCCAAGAACAGGGACCCACUCCCAUAUUCAAUACCCAUCAUAGAUAGAAAACCCACUGCACUGCUAAACUCGACUGAACUCCCCACUAAUACCACUACAAUACACCCUACUAUACUCAAAUAGGUGUAAUGUGGUCCUCGACUCUCUCAGAGCCAAAUGUCUAUCUGUUCAUGAUAAAUCACUGCCUCGCGGCACACAUGCUACCUGAUACUCUGGUGGAAGAUCAUCAUCAAUGACAACCUGCAGGGUUUACCCCCAAACCCAAAACUUAAACAUCAUGCUUCUCAUGUUUAGCACACGAACAUAAUUAGUACCACCCAUAUCAUAGAAGGUGACAUCUCCUCUAUUGACUGAUUGCUCAACUCAGACCGAAAUUCUCCCCUUUCUCUGACUCCUUACUAAAAUACUCUGAGAGGCUCUCGAUCUCCCUCUCAAGGGACGCCUCUUCAAACUCAAUCAUGAUGGGAUAACGGGGGAACCACAAGCAUCAUUCAAUACGAACCAUGGUACUCAUUCCAUGACAUCUCUUCUCAAUAUGCUCUGGUGUAUGGUACCCGAACCAUAACAUCACUCCUCAAUCCGCUCCGAUGUAUGGUACCCGAACCAUAACAUCACUCCUCAAUCUGCUCCGAUGUAUGGUACUCGAACCAUAACAUCACUCCUCAAUCCGCUCCUUAGAACCUCCAGAAUAUUCCCUGUAUCAAGUAUGGGUCCUCUGCUUUUAGUAGUACGGGCCCAUACUACCUGCCACAUCUACCCAUACUUUCCACACGGACUAUCCCAGAGCUCCUAAGUAGCUACUCGACCUGCUCUUUCACCAAUCCCAUCGCGCGUGCUCGCUCCCCAGCGAAAUUCUCUACUCUUCCAGCGCACUCCUCUGGCUAAGGUUACUCCCUAGGCUCUGCCUAGAUCCCCACACUUCUCUGCCAUCCGCUGCUGAAGAGCUCCUAAUGAUGCCAGCCAUCUACCUCCAAAAUAUAGUCAUAUUCACUUAGUAGCUGACUCCCAUCAUCAAGAGUUCCACAAAGCACGAAGCAAGCAGCAUUCGGGCAUUGAAGCGUCCCCUUCAACACGAAAAACCUCCUUAGGUUAUUAUCCACUCACCUUCCUCAUUUGUGAUGGAUAUCACUAUCUAACAACNCCGCCCCACGUGGGCAUCUGGCUACCCUCUCGGCAAGCUCCUCAUAUGCUCAUAUAGAUACCUCUUCGAUAUUACUUCCCUGCUCAAAUCCCCUAAAGAUUUCCUGCUGGACACUCUCGCUCAGCACAUACUCAAAAGCACAUCACACAUAUCAGCAACCCUAGGCUAAGGCAUCACAAAUCAGGCCACUCUAGUCCUAAAAUAUGAAUUGCCUAGCCUGCCUCUAGCAUGCACACUAUCCCAUAAAAUAUAUCCCAAAUAUCUCAUAACACAAAAUAAGGGUGUUUUGGAAAAUCACCGUUCGGGCUCUGGCUGAUUGUACACACUGCUCUUUUUGCUUUCUCUUUGAAACUCUUAUUCUCUUUAUAAAAACACAUUUCUUUUUGAAAAUUUUUCUUAAAUCCUCAGUUUGAGUCCAGAUUUACCCGAAGGUGCAUCCGAAUCCCUCAAACCAAGGCUCUAAUACCAACUUGUAACACCGAAAAUUUCAAAACAAUUUUUCAUUGAAAAAUAAUCGUUUAAUUCUUAAAAACACUUUGCUUAAAAUCUCAUUCAUAAUCGAAUUACAAAAUAUAACCCCAUUUUCACUUGCAUAAUAAACCAGGAUCCUCCAAAACAUGACUCUUUCUCUGGUGUGUACAAUCGAGCCGGUGUCGUCCCGUGAUCCUGAGAGAAACCUGAAACACAUAACACAAAACACUAUAAGCACGAAGCUUAGUGAGUUCCCCAAAAUACCACACAUAAAACAUAUUAGCCACUCGAGGCUAUAACUCUGUGGGUCCGUGGACCCUACUCUAUGAACCUUCUGGUUCUAACUCUAUGAACCUUUCGGUUCUAACUCUAGAAACCUUCCGGUUCUAACUCUGUAAACAUGCACAUCAUCGAUCACAUAGAAAUAAUGCGGUACAACACAUAACAUACAUAUCAUACAAAUACUCUUUCACAUAUCUCUGGUUACCUACUCAAGGUAAAGUAUAGUGAGAAGACUUACCUAGCAAGCAGAAAGCAGAUAUCGCCACACUUCAAUCUCGAACUCGCCACCGCCUAACACAUAAGGCAAAUACUCUCAUGAAUGUAACUCUCGAGACUAGAAUCAACCCUCUCUUGGCACCCUCUUAAGGGUAAAAGAUCAUUUUACCCCUCUCUUGGCCCAAAGGCCACAUCGCUGACCAAACCCUAAAAGUCAACAAAAGUCAACGGUCAACUUUGACCGGACCCGGCGAGUGCACUAGGGCGACUCGGCGAGUCUAUAUGUGUCCACUGACUCCCUUGGAUCCUCUCUUAACACGUCGAGUAUUUCUCUGACUCGACGAGUUUUCUCCUGGCAUAAAUCGCGGGGCCACCACAAGUCAACUCGCUGAGUCUUAAGAACAACUCGGCGAGUUCCGGCUUGACUCAGUCCCCCUGACUCUCCCUGACACACUGAGUCGACCCCUCAACUCGACAAGACCACUCGCUGAGUGGUUACGGGCAACUUCAUGCUACUCGCCGAGUCUGUUCUUCAGACUUGACGAGUCCAUGCCAUGCAUAACUCAAACUCACUUCUGAGGUCAGAUAUGUUCCAUACAAUCAUAGAUCUGGCCUACCUAGGCAUGAUAAUCACGUAAAGUCCAAACCUUGGUGCUUAAACAACAACUAUUUGCUCCUAGAUGAUGUUUUAGCCCCAUAUCUCAUAACUCUAGGUCAAAACUACCAUGAAUCGUCAUAAAGCUUAAGGAAUAAAGCUUCUCUGGACCUCUAUGGAUCUUAUCCCAAGCCUCACCUCCAAUAGGGACGAAAUGGACAUCAAAUCUAACCAACAAAGGGGUCAUGAAACCCUAACCCCGAUGUUUAUCAUGACAACAGAAAAGGAAGCGAAAAUAUACCUCCAAGAUGAUGCUCUGAGCUCCGAAAUCGAAGGAUGUCCACCUCCCUUGCCUUCUCUUAGCUAGAAUCUCCUUUGCCUUGCCAAACAAAGCUUCAAAGGUCAACAAUGGCCUCUUCUCUCUCCCAAAACGCUCAAAAUCUCUUUAGGGUUUCUCUCUGGGGUUGGUGGCUGCAAAUGACGGCCAUAAGCCCCUUUAAAUAGGUCUCAAACCCUGGAAAUUAGGGUUUCAUUAAAUAGCGUGGACUCGGCGAGGUUGGACUCCAACUCCCCGAGUCUCCUCACAAUCACCCAAAAAUAAAGAAUAAAAUAAUACUUGGGAAUCCGGGGUGUUACAUACAGUCCACAGCCUACCAAGCCAAGGGAUGACAAAUGUCAUAUUUAUUCCGACGCUUGCAGGGCGUCAAGUACUCUAGUGUCAAUCAGUAUGGUUACGAGUAUCUCCAUGUUUACCUUAUAAUUCAUGGCCUUAAGGUAACGAGAAUUAACACUGUAUUUCUGAAACAACACUCUUAGGAUCACUCUUUGUUUUAGACCUUGCUAGUUGUACCUUUCAUUUGAUACUGUCUAGGGUCUGUGUUUCUUUGUUUUAGGCCUUGCUAGCUGUAUCUUUCAUUUGAUACUGUAUGGGGUCUAUGUUUCUUUUUUUUAGACCUUGCUAGCCGUAUCAUACAUUUGAUACCGUCUGGGGUCUGUGUCUCCUUUUGUUAGACUGAGCCAGGCAUAUCAUUCAUCCGAUACUCUCCUGUAGUCUAUAAUUUCUUUGCCUUAGUAAGCAGUAUUUUCUGCUGAGGCAUAUGUUAUUUUCCCCUAGUACUUUUACUAGUGAUAUUCUCCUACUUCCUUUAAAGUCAAAUACCGUAUUUUGGGUAAUGAUAGUAUUUCAGGGAAAAUUUCUCUUUAAAACAUAACACUGUCGAGUCGUGGUAGAAGACUGCUUUUAAUUAGAAAAUAUGGGAUUUUCUGGAAGGGAUGCUAAUACACCGUAGACUCUAAACUAGUACUCUUUAUAAAGUUAUUUUUGUAACAUCCCGAGUUCAGGAGCGCAAGUUCAGGGUUCAAAGUGUAAAUGUGGAAGGGCAACUCUACGAGUCCAUGGGUGGACUCGGCGAGUAGGGUCGCGACUCUAGUCGUGUGUUAAGUGGCCAACUCGGCGAGUUGGGGGCUGGACUCGGCGAGUAGGUGCUGAGUGGAGAAAACCCUAAUUUUGGAGGAUUAGCCCUAUUUAAAGGACAUUAUACCCUCUCCCCAACCUCUUUACCCUCCCUUGAAGUCCAGAAAACCCGAAGGCACAUUUAUGAGGGAUUUGUGAGCAUUUGAACCUUGGAGAAGAGGUUUUGGAGGAGAUCUUGGAGAGUUAAGAGGCUUGGAGCAAGGGGCUUUGCUAAGAUUCGGAUUUCUCUUCUGUUGGAGCUUCCUUUUGAGGUAUUAUUUCGUUGCUUGGGCUGUUAUUCAUCUAGAUUCUUCAUUUUGAAGUAUUUGGAAAGAUUAGCUUGUGGAAUUUUGAGUUUGGAGGUUGGAUCUGAGGUUGCUACCUCAGAUCUGGAAUGGAGAAGGUCUAAAGUGCAUUAAAGUCCCUAUUCUUGAGUGUUUGGUGAAGCCAUCUUGUCCCAAACCCUAGCCCUAGAGUGUAAAUUGCCUAGAUCUAUUAGGAUUAACGUAAAGUUUGCCACUUUACGAGAUGGAUGGGUUGUAGAAGGGUAGAUCUAUGGUUUUGAUCAACUGCAUGGCCUGGAAGGCUUCUGUAUGGGUUAAGAUCUAGAGGCACUCGGCGAGUCACAAAGGUGUACUCGGCGAGUUGCUUGAAGAUGGGCAGGAACUCGGCGAGUUGGAAGAACAACUCGGCGAGUAGGUUGAAGAUAGCCUUGGACUCGGCGAGUCUGUUCUUGGACUCGGCGAGUCUGGUCGUGAGGUCCUAACAUUCUUCUGGUUGAGCCGUGAAUCGGUGAGUCAAGGGAGGACUCGGUGAGUUGAGUGCGAGGGGACUCAGAGUUUUGGGACUCGGUGAGUCUCGGGGUGACUCGGCGAGUUGAGUCGCGAAUUGAGGAAGUUCUGAGCAUAGGGACUCGACGAGUCAUCGGGUUGACUCGGCGAGUAGAGUCAGUCAGGAGAUUGACUUUGACUAAGGGUUGACCAGUCGACUUCCAGGGGGAUUUUUGUAAUUGUUGGCUUUUGUUUGAGUUCAGUAUUGGUGUCAGAUAGUGGUGGAGAUCGUGUCAGUGGUCGGGGCAUCUUGGUCUUAUCUUUUUCAGUCGGCAGUUGCAAGGUGAGUUAUCCUCACUAUAUCAACAGGAUCUAAGGCACCAAGGUCGGCCCUUUAUCAGAUUGUGAUCUGGGUAUCGUUGUUAUGUUAUUGCUUUGCUAUGUUUGCAUCCUGGUAGUUAGGAUGGUAUUAUGUUAGCGACCUGGUUAAGGUCGAUAUCCUGGUUUAUAAGAUGAUGUUAUGUUAUGUGAUCUGCUAGAUCGGCUUGAUUGAAUGUGAAUUGUUAUAUGAUUGAAUGUUUAUGUGCACAUGGUUAUUGGGCUGGGUUGAGGCGGGUCCUGCUUUGUGCUGCAGGCCAACAUACCCAGGGCGGCCCGGUUAUUCCGAAGGCCCAACGAGCGGUCCGGAUAGGUUAUAGGCCCCAAGAGGGCGAACCAGACGUCCCGAGGCUCGGAGAGUGGACCAGGCCGGCUGAAGGCCCAGUGCGGGCGGACCAGUCAUACUGUAGACUCAUAGAGUGGACCAGGUGGAUUGAAGGCCCAGUGUGGGCGGACCAAUCACACUGUAGACUCGAUGUAUGUGGCUAGACUCGGAGGGUGGACCAGGUGGACUGAAGGCCGGUGCGGCGGACCAGUCACACAGUAGACCCGAAGUGCAUGACUGUUCUGUGUUCCGUUAUUAUAUGGCAUGUUGUGCGUGUAUGGUAUAUAUGGUUGGUAUUUUGGGGGUAUCUCACUAAGCUUUCGGGCUUACAGUUGUGGUUUAAUGUUUUUCAGGUUCUUUAGGAGACCGUGGCAAGGCAAAGGCGUGAUCGUACCGCUCCUCAUGAUUAUGUUUUAUGUUGUGGUUCUGGGAAGACUCUGAUAAUGAUUGUAUUGAAAACCUUUUUGUAAUAACUUUAUGAACCUGAGCUGUUUUUGAAAAGUUUAAAUUGGUUGAGACUUUUAGAGCGUUACAAGUUGGUAUCAGAGCCUUGGUUUGAGUGAAUUGGAGGAACAUUCGUGUGAAUCCAGUCUCAAAUCAGGGAGAGUUUUCAAAAGAGAAUGUAAGAUGGUUUUCAAAAAUAAGUAAAGGAGGACGCGGAGGUACAAUCAGUCGGAGCCAGUAAGUAACCCCAAAAUACCAUACAUGAUAUUUGUUUUUGAGCUUUGAUAGAACAACAUGCUAGUACUAGGCUAGGGAACUUCAAGAUUUCAUGAUAAUGUUGCCUGAUUUAUGAUGCCUGCUAGCCUAGGGUUCCUCUGUGGGAGAUCUCUGGUGUUCCUCUAGGAGUGAGGGUUGAGCGCUUGUUAUGUAUGUUUUUUGCUAGGGUGUUGUGGUAAUACUUUAUACAAAUAUAGGUAGGUGUGGAAGUUAGUAUGGGCCCGUACUACUGAAAGCACAGGACCCAUACGCGCAUCAAAGAAACCAUGACCUCUAGGGUUGGGUUGGGAGUUGGUUCCCAGGUUUAUGGGAAGUAUCUGAGAUCUUGUGGUGUUUUUCAGUAUGGUGGUUACGAGGCAUGCUGGGAGCAGAUCCGGGUCAGGAUCGGGAGCAGGAGAGGGUGGUCAGGGUGGGUCAGUACUACCCGAGGUUAUUGGUCAGUUGAGCACAUGCGAGUUGGACGCUAGGAUUCGUGAGAUCCUACAUGAUGAGGUUGCUGCGUUGUUCCGGGUCGAGUUUCCAGAACUGUUCGGGUCGAUCAAGACCGCCAUGAUUGAGUAUUUUGAUNUGUAGCAGCGGCAGGGGGAGGAGCUGGUCAGGGUUUUCAGUAUCGGGACUUCGAUAAUACGAAGCCUCCUACCUUCGAUGGAGUUCAGGACCCAAUUGUUGCUAUGGGAUGGUUGUCGGAUGUGGAGGGGUGUUUCUUCAUGUGUUCAUGGCCUGCUGAUCAGAGGGUGAGGUGUGCUCUGAACCUGUUGAGGCUAGAGGCGAAGGAUUGGUCAAGAUUGACCACGGGGUCAUAUUCGGAUGCGCAGAGAGCUGCAGUUUCAUGGUAUCAGUUCCGGGAGAUGUUCAACACUCGUUAUGUUCCGCAGGUUGAGAGGGAGAGAUUGGCUCAUGAGUUCCUUGAGCUGAAGCAGGAUUUGGAGUCGGUGACGGAGAUCACCAGGAUGUUUACUGAGAGGGCGAUGUUUUGCCCUGAAUUCGCUUCGGAGCAGGCUCAACUGUUUUUGAAAAGUUUAAAUUGGUUGAGACUUUUAGAGCAUUACAAUUUUGGAUAUAAUGCUUACUUACACAAAUGACACUAAAUACUUAUGAACUCACCAACAUUUAUAAACAUGCUGAUACUUGCUUUCAAAAUAGCUUGUAUUCUCAAGUCAGCAAUAGACAGGUACAUCCCAGGAGCUUUUGGUGAAGAUAGUUUAGUACCAAGCUGCACCUAUAUUAUUACUUGUAUUACUUUAAUGUUGCUAUGAAAUGUAACUUAUGUAAAACUAUUACUAUUAAUGCAAUGGUUGUUGUACCUUGAUUACUAUAUUGCAUAUGCUGUGAUACUUGACAUGACGUUAUCCACCCCAAAACGUUUCUGCCGUUUCGGUUUUGCGGUGUGAUAGAUUGGUAUCAGAGCAUUGUUUAUAGUGAGCUAAGUAUAUUAAUUCAUAAAAGAUAUACAACCUAUAAAUACAUAGGGAUAAAACGCUCUGACCAAGAAUUGUACUUUAAAAUAUAACUAUAUUUUACCAAAGUAUAAGAACAUCCAGAAUCUAAACGCUCGAACAAAAGUAUCACAAGAAGAACAAGAAUAAAAGUCUUCGGAUGUUAAGCAUUACCGUCAAACCUGGGCAGUUAUGUAAUCGUAAGCUGGAUUAAAUGUAACCUGAUCAACUACAUUUAUUCGAGAUGCGAUGAACGUGUGCUUGGGAGUGAUAGUGGUGUUGCAACAGGUCCGAAACUUACCAACUAGGAAUGAUAGAGCCAAACAUAAAGUUUAAAAUACUAUGGGAGUAUUUUGGAAUACUAAAAGACUCACAUUAAUCCCAAAAUCAUAUUGAAAAGUUAAGAAGCAAACAAGAAAUUAAAAUACCAUAGGGGUAUUUAAGGAACCAAAGAUAACCUUGUGUGAAGAAUUAAAAAGAUCCUUAUUGAUAUACCUACAAUUAUAGAGGUAUACUCCCAAGGUUAUAUAUAAUAAGGAUCCCAUAGACUAAGAAUGUGUGGCUUCGCUCUACUUCCUUUUCCUCGUUGGGAUUCGGAUAUAGAGUAGUAUCACAUAUUCGAAGGCCUAUCGGAUCUAAGCUAUAUAUGAUUUGGGUACCUCAUGUAAUUGUAGCAGGACUCGAUAUGGAUCACCAAGUGAAAUGUUAAUAAUCUCUUAGGAUUCUUUAGACAUUUCCAUUCUCGCACAAGCCCUGUAGAAAACCUUAUCCACUUCAGUACUCGGCAGAAGAGUUGAUUCAGACCCAGAAGAGGUUCAUUGAGAAGGUUUCUAGUUCAGAAAUAAAUGAACUAGGUCGAGCCUAUUGAAAUCACUAAGUGCCUAUGUCUUUUUAGGGACAUGGUGGGAAAUUCGCCUAAACUUCUGAGAUUUCCAGUCAUCCAUCAUGAAGUAAUGACACCCACAGUCGGAAUCGGAAGUAAGACGGAGUAGAAAUUCAAUAUGUCUAUAGGAGAAGAGAACCAUAGGUAAUUACCCGAAGGAAAACCAACGCCCAUCCCGGUCAAGGAUAUGAGGUAGACAGAGGGAGCCAGUACAUGGAACCCGAGAGGUAGGGGUGAGCACGGUGCGGUUCGGUGCGGUUAUUAGCCAAAACCUCACCACUAACCGCAAAUGUGGUUAAUCCAAUUUCAAAACCGCGUGGUGCGGUUAUUUUUGCGGUGCGGUUAGGCGGUUAUUUUUGCGGUGCGGUUUUGUUUUUUCUGUGUUGUGGUUAUUAGCCGCAUGGAUUUGGUGCAGUUAUUUUGUGUGGUCUUUAACCACAGUUUAGAGCUCAAAUAAUUUUAAGAGUUCAAACAUAUUACUUGUAAUAAAAAAAACCAUAAGGUAUAAGACAAUUAACUAUUUCACUUAAACCACAAACAACUAAUAUCUUAAAAACGUCAAAUCAGUAGUAAUUAAUAAUAAAUAUCUUAAAAUUGUCUAAUUUCAUCUUUUUUUUUUCAAAGUGAAACAUAAGAAAAAACCAACAUUUUUGUCUUCUAGUAAUGUGUACGUCUUCAAUUCAUGAAACUUGUCUUAUUUUUAAUAUUUAACAAACUAAUAAUUGAUAAAAAAAUGGUAUAUAAUAUAUGCGGUGCGGUGCUGUUUUUUUUUCGGUUUUUGGAAACUAAUAACUGCACCGCACCGCAAAUUUGCGGUUUUUGAAAAACAGAAAACCUCACCAUUGGUUUUUAUUAUGGUUGCGGUUUUUCGGUUGCAGUUUAUGCGGUUUUUGCGGUUAAUUUUAGUUGCGGUGAGGUUUUUGCUCACCCCUACCGAGAGGUGUCUUUUCCUCGUGUUCGUCGUGCUAAUACACCUAUAAAAUAAUACAAUUCAGUGAGUUAGUGAUUACACUACUCACGCUAUGUGUUAGGUAAAUCGCCUUUUCACGUCGCAAGUAAUACGAUUAGAGCGGAUCCCUACACCUCUAUUGAGAUUGUUUAUCUAUUAGUCUUCAUGAGCCUUUCUUCCUACGGUCUUCGUUCCGAACUGUUCUCAGAUCUUUCUAAGCCGGGGAGUGAAACCUUUCCCAGUAUAAAGGUAACUUAGUAGGAACGACUCCCAUCUUAUGGCUUUUUCCAAUACUCAUACUCCUACCUUGAUACCCAGAAUACAUCAUAGGGAUGUACGUCGACACUCAGACAACAAAUAUCUGAAGCGCGGGAAAGAUUUAUGCCUAAUAUAGUAAGGAUACAUACGUCCAGGGAUAACCAUCGUCUCUCAUCAGCUUGUGUUCCUUUCCGUGUAGGAAAAUCAUGCCUCCGAAGAAGCGUAACCCAUCCGCUAGCAAGAAACCGACUCUCCUAUUCAAUGAAGCUACCUUCCAGGCUGCAGUCUCGGCUGCUGUUGCAGCUAUCAUGGCUUAACUGAAUGCUAACAACGCUAAUGUUAGCAAGAGCCCUAUCAAGAAUUCCGAUCCAAGUAAUGGACAUCAGCAACCAACCUCUGUGUACCCAGCCACCCAAGAACCUCAACCAAAUCCAUUGAAGAGAAAGUUCAAGAUCGAGGAGGGAAGUACCUCGGCUCAAGGACCUUCCGAAGGGCAACAAGCUGAGAUAGUUAGUACCCCUGCCAGCCCUUCCAUCCCGACUUCAAGAAGACCAUACCUAGGAAACCUUCCCCAUUGUAGCAAGUGUAGCUACUAUCAUCAUCGUAUCUGUCGAGAACUCUUUUGUGCUAGGUGCAACAUGAAGGGGCAUACUGCUCGCGUAUGCAGAACCUCGGUUGAGUUUAUUACAUCAACCACCAAUGUGACGAUCAAUCCAGUAUGUUACCUAUGUGGUGAGAUUGGGCACCUGAAGCGAGAUUGCCCAAUGGAAAGAAAAGACAAGGACACAGGAGGAGUCUAACUCUAAUGCUUGGGGAGAAGCAUCAAGAAACCCGGUAGAUUUUUGGUACAUCUCUUAAUCUCAGAUAACUAAUCGAAAACAUUCAAAGGCUAAUUCUAAAUGUAAUUACUUCCCCGUUAAGGCAAAAGUCGCAACAUGGUUAUAAAAUUUAAAAUUUCAUCAGGUAAAACUAUAAUGGCUAGAUAUGUACGUUACGACCAUGUAUAAUUGAGAUGGACAGACCUAGAGUGAGCGAAUGCCGCCUCAUUUCCUGUUCCUCGUUUGGUUGUGGAUUUAGGGCGGAGUCACUCAGUCAACAGUCCUCCCCACCUUAAUUAUACAUGACUAGUAUAUAUUAGGCGAUUAUAGAAAGGCCUCGUGAGAAUCCACUCAUGAAAUGUACUCUACUCAAAAGCACUAAGGACCCUCUAUAUUUCCGUGUCGACUCUAUCGGUCCAAGUAUCCGCAACAGUGACACAUGGGACGAAACCCAAGACGCCUAGAACUUGUGUGCCCGUUUGGCACAUGACUCUAUCGACCCUCAUUCUAUAUCAUGUCGAAGUAUGCCAACUUCGACGCCUCUAUCAAUCAUGGUUCGACUUCGUGCAACCAUGUGUAAAUCCUUAGUGCUGUGUAAAAAGAACUUUCACCGUAGCCAUUUCGGCAGAUAAAGGUUCUUCCGAACCUAAAAAAAAUAAAAAUAAUAAAGACUAAUGCGAUCCGUCAGUCGUCACUCUUAUUUCAAACCUUCCGAAGUACCCAGGAGAAGGGUACCACACGCUGUUAACCAAACUCUUCUUAGACAGAUUGGAACCGAAGCGAAAGACACUACAGGCAUUCCAGAAGACGAUAACCACCCGAAGCAUACUCCGUAGAUUCCCCAGAAAGACCCUUCGCACCUCGCAAUCAGGUUCGUGAAUCAAGAGGAUAUAACUCAUGGGGCUGACCACUAUAACUGAGUAUAUGCAUAAGAGUGGUAUAUAAUUGAGAUAAAAAAAAUUUAAGAUGUGUGCCUCCUCCCUACUCCCUAUUCCUCGUUGGGUUGUGGGUCUGGGGUGGAGUCGCACAACUGAACAUCCUGCCGACCUUAAUUAUAUACGGCUUGCAUACACAAAGUAUUAGUGGUUAAGCCAAGUAUGAGCUCUACCACGAACCUCAUAGUAAAACCAUCAUCCUAUUCCAUAGAAUAGGAGCUAGAGUCAAGAGAACCAUGGCGGGUUGAGCUACUAUAAUGACCACAAAUCCGAAAUUUGUUGUCAUCCCGGUUAAGCCAACAUAGUAGCUAACACCCUCGGUUGGUAAAGAAAUUUGAGUCGUAAGAGUCAAGGACAUUGACUACGACCAUCCACGAAUUAAGCAUCUCAGCGAAUAUCCCGGAACCCUGGAAUCUAUGAUAAGUUAAACUCUGAGGAGAGUGGAUGAGGAGAUUAAAGUUCCGAGUGACGGAACCCUAUACUCACAAGAUUUGACCUAGAUCGAGAAAAACUCAGAACCUUCGGAAGAGUAGUUGCAGAAGAUGCUCGCACUACUCAGGCACUUUGUCCACCCCGUUACCGAUGAGUAGUGCCUAGGACACUCCGCCCCCUUACGUGAGAGAAGUCAUUGUCGCCCUAUAGACGAUAGACUGCAUUCUCCGAAGUGAACACUAGAAUGUUGAGAACCACAGGAUAACCUCCGCAACCAAGAAUACUUGAAUAAAGUGCGAAAGUAGGUUGUGUUAAGCCUGAUAAUCUAGAUCCCAAAGAGAUUAUAUACUUGACACUAGUCUAGGUGUUAGUCGAUGGAUUAUACAAGAGCACGCGCUUUCUGCAACUGAAAUAAACCGACGCCUUAGAGAAUAGAGCAUAUUUUAGAGAUUUAUUGGACUACCAGGUGUUCCAUGGAUGCUAUCUCGCACAGAAAUAGUAGAACCCCCUCCCGAGACAGUCCAACACUUUGGAAAAUCUCUAAGGAUUGAGUUAGCCCAGAGCAGAGCCUUCUGUUCAUGAAACAACAUGGCAAGUAAGAGCAUGAUUCCUUCCAAGUUAAGAAUCAUACUAUGAAAGCAUCUGUUAAUCGGCAAAGAAAUCUAAAACCGUCUAACCAUUGUCUGCUAAGGCCCUAUCUCGUUAACUUUGAGAGUCUCCGUUAGGGACACCUUAAGAAAUCAGAAGUGCAGGUCCAUUUUUCACUAAGUUGAGAUAGAUUCCACGAAACCAGUUACAUGCCAGUGUGUAGCCAAUACAUCCAAUGGUCCAGAAAACCUCUAAAAGCCAAUCAGUAGGAAACACGAAUCUGAGGACAACCCGAGCUUUCUAAGAACCAACCUGAAGGACUACACCCCAGUAUGAGAGAGAACGGUUGGAACUUUGGAAUGGCGAUCACGCCAGUGAGGAUCUCGCCAUAGAAGUACACUAUGUUCUAAGUACUGAAAAGCUCUACCUUUCCGAGAGCUUAGGACCAUCCGAUAUUCUUUACAAAGAUUAUUCCAACCCUCGUCAGACCACUACUACUUUCAGAAAUUCCACAAGUUUCACUCCAAUUCAAUCCACUUCUUAGACUUGAUAAGUGUUUGCCCAACGUCACUCUUUGUAUCCCACUCAUCUUGAUAGAAACCAUUGGGAACCCUAACUUAGUAGACGAACCAGUAGGAAUCGCUAACUGCACGAAUCAAAAUCCGCAUCCCGUAAGUGAAGGUUGUUAGAACGCCAAGAAUAGGCUAGAGGUCACUUGGGAGUGCGAGGACCAACCAAAUAGGAAGUGCCCUCAUACCUCUACUCGAUCAUUCAUACCUACUUCCUUGCCUAAACCUGAAUUUCGGGACGAAAUUCCCUCUAACGGGGGGAUGAUGUGACAACCCAAAAAUUUCCGUUAGUUUUAACGUCGAAAUUAAUUACGUCAAAAAUUAGCCAAAUUUAUCCCGAAAAUAUUUUUGACCGGAAUUAAACCCAUUAGAAUAUUUUAAAUAAUAUUCGUCAAGCGAACCAAAAUUUAGGUGGUAUAAUUUUAAAAUGUUGCUGUGUUUAACGGUAGUCGUGAAAAACCCCGUUGGCGGUUGGUGUCAGGUGAACCCCAACCAGGCCAUAAACUCCACCCUAUAUAAGGGUUGAGUGGGUUUGAUUCCCACCUUUUUUCCCACCUUACACACACACACUCUCUCUCUACUUUCUCUCUCUACAAAACGAGUUUUGGUCAAAAAUCUCUCCUUCGAGCUUCAAAUCGGUAAGUUAACCUUCCUAGCUUGCUGUUUAUCUUAUCUAGCUUACAAAUUCGUGUUUAAAUUACCCAAAACCCUCAAGAACAUGAGUUUACGGUCCAGCAACACCUUCAUGGACCGUAACACUUAUAAAUGGGAUUUUAAUGCUCAAAAACCCUUCCAAACCACUUAUGGAGCUUAGUUAUGACUUAAAGGCUUACAUGAAAGGACUUAGAACACCAAAAUCAUAGCAAAUAGGGAGUAAACAUGAGUUUACGAUCUAAGAACAUUCUUAGACUGUAAACCCAUCUUCAUGGACCAUAAACACCUUUUUGGGUGUUAAACUACCCUUCAAACACCUCCAAAAGCUUCCAUGAGUACCUAGAGCCUUGUAAUCCUUCGUUUGAUGCACCAAAACAUAAGAUUCAUGGACAACAUGAGUUUACUAUGGUAAAAUCAUGUGUUUACGGUAGUAAACUCCCCAAGAACACCUUCUUAGACCGUAAACACCUUUUCAAGGUGUUUAAGUGCCUUUAACACCUUCCUAUGCUCACAUAAGUGACUAGAACCUUGCAUGCAUGAGUUAGAACCACCAAACAACAAAAGAAAUGGGCAAAUAUGAGUUUACAACUGUAAAAUCAUGUGUUUAUGGCCGUAAACUCCUCAAGGAGUGGUCAAAUGGACCGUAAACACCCUAAAAUGGUCCAUUCGGAGCCUAAACGACUUCCUAUGCCCUAGAAUUGAACCUAGCCUAAUUCCACGAGUGAGAUAAGACCUUAAAGCAUCCAAGAACACACCACCCAUGAGUUUACGGCCGUAAAAUCAUGGGGAUAAGGUCUUAGGGCCGUAAACUCUAUAAAGAGUUUACUCUUGAAGAGUAAACUCCCUAACUAGGCCAUACACUCCCUUAGAUGUUACCCGGGACACUCCUAGCACUUGACCAAAGUGUUUUCUGCUCAUUAGGAUGCGUAUACGUGUUUAAUUAGUAUUAUAAUUAUUAAUUGUAUGUAAACAUAUUUCAUCAUAUGUUAAUAGGUCACUAAGCGUGUUCAAGUCUUUACUUGACACUGAGCACCCAACCGGCACCUCCGCCCGNGGGGGGGGGGGAAUACAAGUUAAAACAUGCUAGUUAUCAUAUCAAUCAUAUGUGAUUGAUAACCCGCAUGCACAAGGAUUAUUACACUUUUAGCUGUUUUACCAAGUAUGGUACUAUUGGAUAUAGUGUCUAAGUCCAUAACUAUAUUUGGUANNNNNNNNNNNNNNNNNNNNNNNNNNNNNNNNNNNNNNNNNNNNNNNNNNNNNNNNNNNNNNNNNNNNNNNNNNNNNNNNNNNNNNNNNNNNNNNNNNNNCUUCAAGAAGAAGACCGACGUGGAUGGAAACGUACACACUUAUAAAGCACGAUUGGUCACAAAGGGCUUUACUCAAACUCCCGGAGUUGACUAUGAUGAGACCUUCUCACCAGUUGCGAAGAUAAAAUUUAAUAGAGAGAUGCUAGCGAUUGCCGCAUUUCAUGAUUAUGAGAUUUGGCAAAUGGAUGUCAAGACCGCUUUCCUUAAUGGGAAGUUGGCUGAGGAUGUUUACAUGGCUCAUCCAAAGGGGUUUGUGGAUCCGAAGCAUCCGAAUAGAGUGUGUAAGCUUGAGAAGUCCAUUUAUGGACUUAAGCAAGCGUCUCGCAGAUGGAAUCUUUGCUUCGAUGAGAAAGUCAAAGAGUUUGGAUUUGUACGAAGCGAAGACGAAUCUUGUGUAUAUGUCAAAGCCAGUGGGAGUAUAGUAAGCUUCCUCGUUCUAUAUGUCGAUGACAUAUUACUCAUAGGAAACGACAUCCCGACUCUGCAGGAGGUUAAAUCCUGGCUCGGGAAGUGCUUCGCUAUGAAGGACCUCGGAGAGGCUUCUUACAUUUUGGGAAUAAGGAUAGUGAGAGAAAGAAGUAAGAGACUAAUAGGACUUAGUCAGAACACUUACUUAGAGAAGGUACUAAAACGUUUUAGUAUGGAAAACUCGAAGAAGGGAGAAUUACCGAUACAAAGUAAUGCCAAGUUGAGUAAGACUCAAAGUCCGAGUACCGAAGCUGAAAUAGCAGAAAUGAGCCGAGUACCAUACGCUUCCGCAGUUGGCUCAAUCAUGUACGCUAUGACUUGUACUCGCCCUGAUGUAGCCUUCGCUUUGAGCAUGGUUAGCAGAUAUCAAGGGAAUCCUGGCAAAGCACAUUGGAUUGCGGUGAAGAAUAUCCUUAAGUACCUUCGGAGGACGAAGGAAUGGUUCUUAGUCCUCGGAGGGAGUGAUGACUUGAAGGUGCGAGGGUAUAGUGACGCCAGUUUUCAGACCGACAGGGACAACUACCGUUCGCAGUCGGGCUGGGUCUUUACCCUAAAUGGAGGAGCAGUGACAUGGAAGAGUUCCAAGCAGGAAACCGUAGCUGAUUCAACGUGCGAAUCAGAGUACAUUGCAGCGAGCGAAGCGUCGAAGGAGGCAAUAUGGCUAAAGAACUUCAUCGGUGAUCUUGGAGUUGUACCUGCCAUAAAGGAGCCAAUGGAGAUUUUCUGUGAUAACGAAGGUGCGGUUGCCUUAACCAAGGAACCGAGGGAUCAUGGUAGAUCAAGACAUAUCGACAGAAAAUAUCACUUCAUCAGACAUCGUGUAGAAGAAGGACAACUCGUAGUGAAGAGGAUAUCAUCAGAAGAUAACCCAGCAGAUCCGCUUACGAAGGGACUGAGUAGGGUUAAGCACUUGCAGCAUGCUAGGAGUAUUGGGCUGAAGGAUGAUAUUAGCAUAGAUUAGAUAGUAUUAGAAACGUGUAAUAGAUAAAUGUAAUUAACAUUUGAUGAUUAAAUAAAGGAGUUUUAUUUAUGAGUAAUGUUACUAUCUUAUGUUAAUUGUUUAGCUAUUGUUUCACUUUGCAUGUUUUGACUUCCAGAAUAAUUGAGUUUAUUAGGAAUAAUCGAAUUGUUCAAAUGGUCCACAAUCGUUCAUAUGUUGGGAGUAGAUAUGAAUGAAGAUUGUCAUGAAUUGGUGUGUAGAAUGUCUAAAUGGUGUUAGACAUAGCAAAGGAUUGCUGCAACGUUCAUGAGUGCUUAUGAACUAGUUUUGAGCAUUGGAAUAAACCCGCGCUUGCUGGAAUCACCUUAUGGAAUACGAUAUAAAAGGUGAUCGCAAGACGAUAAUAUCAUAUAGUCUUAAAACCUAGAUAUAUGGUUUAUUAUUUGUUAAUUGAUUGUACAUUGAUAAUACGAAAACGCAUCAGUAACUUGGUGUUAUAAAACGUAUUGUUGUGUAUAGUUGGUUAAUGAAUAAGUAAAUGCAUAUAAGUCGAAGUUUAUCUGUAACUUUUAUCUAAGAAGGUAAAAGCGAUAUCUCGGCCGCUCGAUGAUUUGAUUUGACUUAUGUGCCGGGCCCGGUCAGAACUGAAUUGAUGUGUUCGAUUAAGUUCUAUGUCAAAUAAAUCAGAGAUCGAGAAACCUAAAUGCUUGACUAACCAUUCCAUAGGAUUGUCAGCAUGAUAUCUAACAGAGGACUGUACGAUCCCUUAUCUAAAGGACAAGAUUGAUUAGAUCAGAGUUUGAUAGCGUCUUUGAGAGCUACGAUUGCAAAUCGAAUUGUACUUGUGCAUAUAGUUACUAGACUUAUCCAAGUGGGAGACUAUUGGAAUAGUGUCUAAGGCUGCAACUAUACUAGGCAAGUAUUUGACCCGAUUGUGCACGGUCCUUUUGGGUUGCCUUCACCAUAGCAACUUGAUAAGAUGAUUUAUUAUGAGAGAAUAAAUAUUAUUAGUAUAUUAUGAGAAUAAUAUAAAGAAUAAUAUAUUGUUAUUUGAUUAAUAUGACUCAUAUAAUUAAUUAGUAUUAAUUUGGUGACUUAAAGAGAUUAAUUAAAUAAGAGGGUAUAAACUGUCAAUUGUUUGAUAGUUACACUUUAGACUGUAAAUCCUUAAGGGAUAAGGGUUGGAUGGAUUCUAGGGCUUGGGAUAGCCUCAAAAUCUUCCAAGGAUUAUCUUAGGUAAGGAUUUGGAUUUCUUUAAGGAAAGAUUAUCCAGCUAGGGUUUAAGGGUGAAACCCUAGGAGUCUACAAGUAUAAAUAGACCCUUAGAGCAAGGGGAAUCAGCAUCUCUUCAAAAGAAAAGAACCCCUGGCUGAUUUCUUCCCAACCUCUCUCUCAAAUCAUCCUCCUUGCUAGUUGGUGUUUAUAACCCAUUAGAGGAGUGACAACUGUGACUCUAGAGCUACAAGACAACAAGAUCAAACAAGAGAUUCAAAGGUAAACUUCUAAAUCUGAUUUUGUAUUGUUCUUAUACCUAAUUAGUCAUUAGAAGUCUUGGAUUCAAAGCAUGUUUAAUUAGAAAAUCUAGAUCCAAGAAUUAGGGUUUUGCAUGCGCACAUAGGAAAGUUCUUAUGGCUAAAACCCAUAAGAUCAUAUAAGCAUAACACUUAUGCUCCCACUAGCUUUGACAUGUAUUUAGAAAACAGUUUAACUUCCAGAAAAACAAUACCUAUUGAAUUUCUUAAGUUCAUAUUUCUAAUACUUAAUGCUUUGACAAUCUUUUAUCUAAGCUUCUUAAUCUCAUACACCUUUGUCUAAGAUAGCUUAUAUGUGUGUCUAAACUUCAGACUAAUUGCCAAAUCUCACAAUUCGAAUUAUGGAAAGGGAUACUGUAACCAUAAUCAAAUUUGAGAAUAUAAUUUUACAAUCGCUAUCUUCUUAAAAUCUCUCUUAGUGAAAGCAUUUCCUGACAUCCAUCUUCAUGAAGGAGGAAAUCUUAUGACACUUAGAUUUUAACGGUGUAUGUGUUCCUAUCCAUGCGAAUUUUCAAAACAAAAGUUUGCGACAAAUCCAAACUCUUAUGGACCGAACUUUCUUAAUCUUGAUUUCUUGCCUUAUGGUAACACGAGUGCCCACCAUGUCUUCCAAGUAGUUAAGCAGCUCACCCUUUUCUUAUCAAUGUACUUUUCAUUGAUCAAGGUCCUUUCCUUUUAUGCAUUCAAAUGAAAACUCAUAGAACUCACAUGCAUAAAUUAACUCAAUUGGAAUGUCAUAGAAACAAGAUAGUGUCAACACGAUAGGUUGUAAACCUCAAGUCGUGUGCUAGUGAUGAUUGAUAAGGUUUAUUCUUGAUUAGUUCUUGAAAGUUUUCGAGAUCAUUAAGACUCCCACUGACUCCUUGACAUAUAAGAUUCUUUUGUCAAUGAACAUUUCUUGACAAACGAAUAUUCGACAGUUAGUGUAGCUUUUAUCAAGACAAAAAACUUAAUAAAAUUGGUCCUAGUUGGUCUUUGUCUUAUCCAAGACAUCACAACUUUCCACAUUUAAUGAAUGUUAUCAACCAUCGUAAUACUUGUCAUUCAACGUCACAAUCUUAACUCUAAGAUUUGGUUUUGGAACGAAGUAUGAUUGACUUCUUGAUUUAACCAUUUCUUCAAUUCUAGAUUCCUCUUCUUAAACAUACAAUUGCACAAAGACUCACUUAGAGGAUCAACUGAGAUAUGAUUCUUAAUCAUUAAGACCUAUCAUAAAACAUAAUAAAAGGUACUCUCCCUUCUGCUUAGAAUAGAGAAACUUUUAUCUUUCUGCCUACUUGAUUCUUCUUAUUCGUUUUGCUAUUCAUUUAAACUCUUUCAAAUCAACUCAGAAUUACACUUAAUCUUGUAAGCAUAAUCAUAUCCACUAAACCUUUAGUAAAUUAUGAUGAAUAUCUUUGUCAUUCUUGUGGUAGACUUGAUCAACACACAACCUUGUGUACUUGAUCUCCUAGUCCUUCACUUGACACUUGGUCAACAAAUUAGUCUAAUUUCCAAAUAUAAAAUUUCUCAUUCAUCGUGCAACCAAGUUGCAUGAUUCCAAAUUUCUAUCCAAUUGAAACUUGGGCGAUGAGAAACUUUCCCUAUUUGGUAAAUUCUUGACCUUUCUAGAAAUAACAUAAUUAAGAAUCAAAUCCGUUAUUGCUAAAAGUAGAAACUUACAAACAUCAAUUUUUCAUACAUGCCAUUACAACAAUAAAUAAAUAAUAUAAAAUCAAAAUUUAUCUCAUUGCGGAAAAAUUUGUCCUUACAAUGCAAUUCAAUUGAAAAACUAUGUUAAUACACAUUUCUUAGCAAUCUUAUUCUAACUCCAAGUAGUGGCUCAAGAUUCUAUUCUUCAAGUAAUGCGAUCGAAAUCCAUUUCUUCACGAUUAGAUUCCGCUCACUUCUUACCUGAAGCUUCCUUUCUUUUCUUUGAUCCUACAAAAAAUUCAAAUGCAAUCUUAUCACAUUAUGUAUUAAGAAUCAAUGAAUAGGAACUUAAUGGAGUUAGAUAGUGGAUUUUACUUGAAGCACAUCCAUGCUCUUUGACUCUCCCAUCUUCUGGAUUCUUUAUGAUCUUAGGGCAUACUUGUAUCCAACGCCCUUUCACUUGGCAGCAAACGUAGCUCGGUUCUCCUAGAACGUCCUCGGAAGCAUGGUUGGUUGACUUUCCCAACAAAUAUGCUCCAUUGCUUUGCCAAAUCAUUUCAGAUUCAACAACAAUGAGCAUGUAAGUUAGGUCAAUGAGGUUUGCAUCAUGAUCCAUCAUAUAUUACUUUCUUUUGAACUCAUUAUAUGAUUCAGGGAGUGACUGCAGAACCCAGUCUAUAGCCAACUUAUUAGAGAAUGACGCACCCAACAUAAUCAACCUAUCAAUGUGUGAUUUCAUUCCUAGAACAUGGGCACACACGGGCUUACCAUCUUCAUGUUUCAUUGCCAAUAGGGCUCUAGUGACAUUGAAUCUUUCAAUUCUUCAAUCUUGUGGGUUAGGGAGAACAACGGGAGGAGGAGUAGGAAGUGAAAUCAAACUACUCCACCUAGAUUCUUCACUUGACUAGCAGAACAACUUAUUUUCAGCAGGAACACCUUUUCCUUGAAAUUUGGGAAGACCAUGAUUGUCAUACUUUGACAUCUACAAAACGGGAGAAAAAGAAUUCAAGUUAGUUGAUUUAUUGAGUCCUUAGUAAAUCACCCAAAUGAUAUACUAGGGCUAGGACCCAACACAAUAUUCCACAACUCGGGAGAGGGAUGUCGUAACCCAAAUUGCAGAACAUUUGAAGGUAAGUGAAUGACGAUUCACUAAUUUUCCACUAUCAAAAACAAAAAACAGAUUAGGUUUUAAAUGUAUUGAAAACUCCUAGAUCCUUUAAGAUUCAUUGAACUUUUCAAUGGCAUGUUUAAAUCUCGAUAUGCCCCUCUAGUUUGUGAUUGGGAUGCCGAGGAUCACAAAGCGGGUGUGAAUAACCAUGCAAACUUAUAUGGUGCCCCAUAUGUUACAGUCACCCUAUUCGAUGUUCCGAUUAACCACACACGCUCCACCGAACUAUGACAAACAUUGAGUCACCCUUUGCUACCUUUGCUUAGAACCAUUUAGUGUGCCGGUUAACCACACACGCUCCACUAACGUCUUCGCAAGGGCACAAAGUGUAAUUUCAUGGGAUUGCAUCAAUUCACUUUUGCCUAAAGUAACUAAGAUUGGGAAUUUUAUGAAAGCAUUUAGUUACUUUUAUACUUCAUUAUACUUAUAAUGGAAGGUUUCUGUCCUAUCCUACCCAUUCGGCUAACGACCCUCCACUAGUCAAGAGUGCGGUGGGUAAGAGUGGAUACCCAUUCAAUCGUCAUUUUAUAGGCAAUUUCCUUAAACACCCCUUAUAGACCAGCUUCGUGAAUGA
rnacentral:lncRNA from 1 species